GAGAUUGUUUCCAGUAGAUCCUCAGUUGUCUAUAAUAUUUAACAUUAGGUCAAAGUCCUAAUACAUUGGGCCCUUUGUCUCACUUUAACCAAGGUAAACUACAAGAACCACGUUCUUGGACUUUUGACCUCACUUGCGUUAUGGGAAGAACUUCAAGUUUUAAGAGAUUUUGAACUUUGACCUUGAAGGUUUUCCCACGGGGCAAGCUGCAUCAAAAGUUCAAGACUAUUCAUUUUCAAGGUGUGUAUUUUCUUUCCAGAAUUGUCAUCAGACCCAACAGUUCCAACUUUCUUCACCCAAGCUUAACCUGUUUUGUUGGUCGACUACCACGUCGCAAAAUAGAUCUCGCCAAUCGUCUGUAUUCCGUCGACUAUGGUCAUAUGCUUCCUGCAAAAUCUGGCGUGAUUUACAUGGAAAGGUGUGCCGAUGAUGUUGUGAAAUAAAGAUGUCCCAUCACCAGCUUCUGAAAGACGAAGGCCGCUGAAUAUGACUUUCUGAAUGUGCUGAUCAUCAGUGCCAUUAUUAAGAUUAUAUGACAUAACAUGUCCUACUUCAGCAAUGGAUGAUUGUCUCCACAAGGGUAUCAACCUCCUUUCCUCAAAAUUACUCCGAGGAUCUCGAAACUCGAGUUUUGGCAAUGUUCUUCCUGCUGUUGCAUAGAGUGGAUGGACGCCACACUUUGCCACUUUUAACCCUGUGAAUCCUUGCUCUCUGAUACUGAACGAAAAUAUGAUUUGUUCUCCACCUUCUAAAGCAGGACAAAAGUAAUCUCGUGGUAUGAAGGUCACCCAAGAACGUUUGUCAGCGGUUACAGUAAUACUGGGGAAGUAAAGGACCCAUGUAACCUUAUUGGUCUGAUCACCGACCUCUAUGACAGGACCAUAUUGAAAAACUCCAUUGUAUUUGCACUGGUAGAUAGACCAAAGGAUCAUUCCCUGGAAGUUAUGUUCUAUGUUUGGUGGCAUUGUUAAGGUUAUAUUAGAUCCUAUGUUUCGGUUGCUGAACCAUUCUGGAACCUCGCUACCUGCAAUAUAGUAGCUGCUUGGAUAAGGAAGAUCUUUAUCACAUUCUCCCGUCUGCAUAAAAUAAAAAUAAAUGGUGUGAGUUGCACUUAAUUGUAAUAGUACAAAGAUGAGAUGAAUAGAGGAACUAACUAACCAGCUGGAAGAAACUUUCAUUAAAGAAACGUCUUGCCAGCUGGCUACUGCUCUCUAUGCGAACAUAUUCAACAUUUUCGAUAGUUUCCAUGCCCUUAAUCUCGGACAAUAUGUCACAAUUAGAUACAUAGAGCUGUGGCAGUAUCCUGUAAUUGGACAUGUCUAGACUUUCAAUGGAUGAACAAUCAUUUGCAUGGAGCACUUGCAGAUUAGAAGGAAGUAGUGGGAGAAUUUGAAGAUUCUUGCAAUUAUCCAGGACAAGACACUGUAGCUCAGAUAGGUCGCAAAAGAGGGAUGAUGGGAGAGUGUAAAAAUCAUUUCCUCCUAAAUCCAAGUAUUCCAAUGAGGUUAAACUCCCAAGAUUGGUGAGAACAUCUGCUUCUGAAAGCCUACAAUCGUUGAGAUUGAGCUCCGUCAAGUGACUUAAACGGGAAAGGGAAUGUGGCAACAACCUCUCUGGACACGAUGAACUACUUCCUGCCCAUGGUACAUAAGAUAAAAUAGAAGUCAGCCAAGAUUGAGCCUUUAAACUUCUGUUGCAUCCUUGUAAUGAUAAGCUUCUUAGGUUUUUCAAGUGUCCCAAAUCAGCAGGCAGUUGUUGUAGACCCGAGCAACCUGACAUAUUUAGAUGUUGAAGUGAUUCUAGCUUGCAAAUGUUGCUUGGUAGAUUCUUGAGGCUUACACAGUCUUCCAGAUUUAAGUAAACAAGUUUCACCAAAUAUUUUAUUGAUGAAUCAAUCUCACCCAACUCGGAGCAACCUGUAAACAAUAUUGUCUCAAGACUUAUUGCCCUUGAAAAAUCAGGAGUUCGCUUUAGUCGUUGACAAUGACUGAGAUUUAGAUAUGCCAGGUUUUCCAGGGGCUGAUUCAUAGAAAUAAUAAUAUAUUCAUUAGUAUCUAUAGUUCGCUUAAUCUAAAAUCUUAUUAUAUCUAAACCUUGAAAAAAUUAGAAUAAGGUUUUUUUAGCAAUAAACCUUGAUGGUGGAUUGCCAAACUUCCAUGAUGUUGCUAUAUUGCAUUUCCAGAGCCACAAGUUUGGUUAGAUGAAUAUCAGUAGGUAAACAUUUCCAAGGGAAAUUUUGCCAACUUAGCCAUCUUAAGUCCUCAAACAAAUUUUUGAAGCUUCCAGUAAAAUUCAUUCCUUUUGCUUGAAAUAUUUUCAACCUAUCCAUUCUUGCAAAGGACUUUGUGUCAACAGUUAAAUCUUUCACUCUGGGAUGGUUGGCGCUGAUGCCUUCUAUCCGUUCGCUACCCUGUCAUCAUAACAGUGCAGGAUAUAUUGUUAGUCUUCUAUUUAUUCGGUUAUAAUUGCUUAUUUUGCUUUUCAAAGAACUCAAAACAUCAUGUAAUUACACUCUUUCGGUGUUUGGAAACGAUUUAACUUUAAACUUCUCGUUUUACCCUUAUUGGAAUAAUUUCAUAGUCACAUAAAUGUUAUGAAAUGUUUAAGUCCAUAAGUCUCAAGUCAUUUUUUUUACCUUGUUCUUUUCUAGAACAUAAUGGACAUCUUCAUGAAACCACAACCUAGAGCGCAUAUGAGGCUCUUUAAGUGACUCUUGAUGAACAAUUUCUCUAGCCAUAUCUCGAACUAAAUCAUGCAUCCACAAAUGAUUCUGUUCAAUUUUGAUUAAACAUCUUCCAAUCAAAAUUCCUUUCCCCAAGUUGAAAGAGCGACCACAACCGGUCAAUACGACUAGCAAAAAGUUAUUGGGCUUCAAUGAAAAAGCAUGCAAUGUCAAGGAAAAUCUCCUUAGAGUUAUCAUCAAGUGAGUCAUAGCUUACUUUGAGUGCUUUGUGAAUACUACUGUGAUGAGCAAGAUUUUUCAAGCUCUCGAGGGUACUUCUCCAUGUUUGAUCGUCCUUUUUAUGCAAAAGAGAGCCCAAAACUUCGAGUGCUAAAGGAACCCCUCCACCUAGACUUGCUAUGUCAUUCACCAACUCAUGAUCCAAAUUCUCGGGUACAGUAGACUUGAAAGCAUGAAAGCAAAAGAGUCGCUUGGAAGAGAAAUCAUCCAACCGUGUUACCUCGUACUUAUAGUCUACUCCAACAUCAUCUAGCAAAUUCUCAUUUCUUGUUGUUAUAAUUUUUAUGCUCCACGAACCAAACCAACUUCUCUCUUCCGCCAAUGCUUUUAUCUGGCUCAUGUCAUCGACAUCAUCCAGAACAAUGAGGACCUUCCUCUGAGCAAGUCUGUCUUGGAUUAGGCAUUUUCCCUUAUCAACAUUAUAUUGGACUUUAAAGUUCUCUCUUUUUAGAACCUUAGAUAGAAGUUGUUCCUGUAGGUUGUGAAGCAUGUUAUUUUCCGAGCGCUCUCUUACAUGAGCCACAAAGGAGAAACCUUCAUACGCCCUGUAGAUUUGAUUGUAGACGGCUUUGGCAACAGCUGUUUUACCAAUGCCACCCAUCCCAUAGAUCCCAAACAUGCAGACACCAGUUGAUGAGUAGAACUUGCAUAGAGAAAUCACUCCUUCAGCAUGAGAAUUAGGCCCAAUUACAUGAGAAUUAGGCCCAAUUACCAGUCCUGGAAGGUGUAUGCAUGUGGGGUUUACUAACUCUAACACCUGUUCCACAAGUUUCUUGUUGAAUUCUGCUUCAUGCCCGAAAACUCAAACUCAAGACAAAUUACUCUAAUAUCUAACCAAGAUGACACGAAGGUAUUUACCUUAUAUAGACUAGAUUGUCUGUCUUAUUUUCUAGGUCAAUUAUCUAUAUUAUAAAAAUAAAAAAGUAAGCAUGUCAAAAUGCUAAUUGUUUAACAACUUUUAUACCCUUCAUAAACUAAUUUUUUUUUUCCAUAAAAGAAGCAAAAUAAGUGUUGGAUAAAUUGUACCCUCUGUCUCAUUUUAUCUUACUUACUUUCUUUUUAGCUAGUCUAAAAAAAAGGACACACUUCUAUAUUAAGUAACAAUUUAACUUCAAAAUGUUCACACAAAUAUCUUAACUUAUUUUAGACCACAAGUUUCAAAAAUCUUCUUUUCUUCCUUAAAUUUUGUGUCAAAUCAAGCUAACUCAUAUAAAAUGAGACGGAUGGAGUAAUAUUUAAAAUAUCACUCAAUAUUAACUACAACUUUAAUUCAACAAAGCUAGAUAAAUUUGGUGAAAUAUAAUUAGUUGUAGACUUAAUUUGACGUUCUAAUCACCAACUUACAACUCCCCUUGUCUCAUUUUAUAUGACUUAUUUUCCUUUUCAGUCGAUCAAUUCCAUAAAGAAUGACAUAUUUCUAUACUAAGUAACAAUCUAACUUUAAAAUGCUCAUUUUAUCCUCAAAGAAAUGAUUUAUAGUCACACAAAUAUAUAUACCUAUUACUUAUUUUAGACCACAAGUUUCAUAAACUCCAUGUCAGAUCAAACUAACAUUUAGUUCUUUUUCCUCUUAAAAAAUAAAAAAGAAGACUUACUUGAAAUUAAGUAGAUGAUAGCCUGAUGGAGCCCUCCAUCUCUGAACUUUGUCCAUAUCAUCUUUGUAUUGUAAAAAUGAAUCAGCAAAAGGGGGAUUUUGAUGGCGCACAUCUGAUGGAGUCACAUCAUAGAAAACUGGAAUCACUAUCAGCUCCAAUUCAUUUUUACACUUUAUGAUGUGUGCAAGCUCCUCUAAGCAGGGGCGAAUUUAUGUACUAAUUUUGGGUCACCCGAACCCGUGAUCAUCCGACUAAACUCGAUAUAUUACUUCUAUAAUUAUUAAAGAAUAUAUUAAAUUAAAACUUGUUGAAUCCGUUCUCAAAAUGGCUGGAUGGUUCACUGGUACUACUGCAAGAUUUCAACUCACAGGUCGCAGGUUCGAUCCUAGGCAGCCCCAAUUCGCUUCAAUUUAUUUUUAUUAACUAAAAACACAUUUUUCAUUUUUUUUUUAAAAAAGAAGCUAAAUUCUGAAAGUUUAAAAGUCAAAAGACUUCAAAAGUUUCCUUCCCACACACUUUUCAAGUUCCAAGUUCCAACAAUAUUUUUCUUCUCUCUUCAAAUUUGUUUUCUAUUUUCCACACAAAGAAGAAGCUUCAAGUCUCCAACUUCAAGUCAAGAAUUUAGAGAAAUCAUCAUUGUCAAAGUUUAAGGUAAUUUUAGUUUAUGAUUUCUCUUUUUAAUAAACAAACUAACAAGAUAAAUAAAUANNNNNNNNNNNNNNNNNNNNNNNNNNNNNNNNNNNNNNNNNNNNNNNNNNNNNNNNNNNNNNNNNNNNNNNNNNNNNNNNNNNNNNNNNNNNNNNNNNNNNNNNNNNNNNNNNNNNNNNNNNNNNNNNNNNNNNNNNNNNNNNNNNNNNNNNNNNNNNNNNNNNNNNNNNNNNNNNNNNNNNNNNNNNNNNNNNNNNNNNNNNNNNNNNNNNNNNNNNNNNNNNNNNNNNNNNNNNNNNNNNNNNNNNNNNNNNNNNNNNNNNNNNNNNNNNNNNNNNNNNNNNNNNNNNNNNNNNNNNNNNNNNNNNNNNNNNNNNNNNNNNNNNNNNNNNNNNNNNNNNNNNNNNNNNNNNNNNNNNNNNNNNNNNNNNNNNNNNNNNNNNNNNNNNNNNNNNNNNNNNNNNNNNNNNNNNNNNNNNNNNNNNNNNNNNNNNNNNNNNNNNNNNNNNNNNNNNNNNNNNNNNNNNNNNNNNNNNNNNNNNNNNNNNNNNNNNNNNNNNNNNNNNNNNNNNNNNNNNNNNNNNNNNNNNNNNNNNNNNNNNNNNNNNNNNNNNNNNNNNNNNNNNNNNNNNNNNNNNNNNNNNNNNNNNNNNNNNNNNNNNNNNNNNNNNNNNNNNNNNNNNNNNNNNNNNNNNNNNNNNNNNNNNNNNNNNNNNNNNNNNNNNNNNNNNNNNNNNNNNNNNNNNNNNNNNNNNNNNNNNNNNNNNNNNNNNNNNNNNNNNNNNNNNNNNNNNNNNNNNNNNNNNNNNNNNNNNNNNNNNNNNNNNNNNNNNNNNNNNNNNNNNNNNNNNNNNNNNNNNNNNNNNNNNNNNNNNNNNNNNNNNNNNNNNNNNNNNNNNNNNNNNNNNNNNNNNNNNNNNNNNNNNNNNNNNNNNNNNNNNNNNNNNNNNNNNNNNNNNNNNNNNNNNNNNNNNNNNNNNNNNNNNNNNNNNNNNNNNNNNNNNNNNNNNNNNNNNNNNNNNNNNNNNNNNNNNNNNNNNNNNNNNNNNNNNNNNNNNNNNNNNNNNNNNNNNNNNNNNNNNNNNNNNNNNNNNNNNNNNNNNNNNNNNNNNNNNNNNNNNNNNNNNNNNNNNNNNNNNNNNNNNNNNNNNNNNNNNNNNNNNNNNNNNNNNNNNNNNNNNNNNNNNNNNNNNNNNNNNNNNNNNNNNNNNNNNNNNNNNNNNNNNNNNNNNNNNNNNNNNNNNNNNNNNNNNNNNNNNNNNNNNNNNNNNNNNNNNNNNNNNNNNNNNNNNNNNNNNNNNNNNNNNNNNNNNNNNNNNNNNNNNNNNNNNNNNNNNNNNNNNNNNNNNNNNNNNNNNNNNNNNNNNNNNNNNNNNNNNNNNNNNNNNNNNNNNNNNNNNNNNNNNNNNNNNNNNNNNNNNNNNNNNNNUAGCCUGCUAUUUUCCCUGCCUCCACAAAUGCAGCCCUCCAUCUCUGAACCUUGUCCAUAUCAUCUUUGUAUUGUAAAAAUGAAUCAGCAAAAGGGGGAUUUUGAUGGCGCACAUCUGAUGGAGUCACAUCAUAGAAAACUGGAAUCACUAUCAGCUCCAAUUCAUUUUUACACUUUAUGAUGUGUGCAAGCUCCUCUAAGCACCAUCUUGACGAUGCAUAGCUUUUUGAAAAUAUCACUAUAGCAAUUUUAGACUCUUCUAUGGCUUUUAAAAGUUCAUCAGAAAUUGAUUUUCCCGUUUCUAAUCGCUCAUCAUCUUUAAAAAUGCGGAUUCCACUUUGUUCCAAAGCCUUAUGUAGAUGACUUACAAAAGUUCUACGUGUAUCUUCUCCUCUAAAACUCAAAAAGACAUUGUACUUGCAAAUUUUGGAAGAAGAAGCAUGAGACAUUGUUGAAUAAUAUUGCUAAAGACCAACUCUCAGCUUUAGGUAUAUGGUGAGAAAGUAUAUUUAAUUUGUUCUGCUACUUGAUAAAGAGAAAUAUUUGAAGCCUAACUGACAAAAACUAUUGUGAACGCAGAAUAAUGGGUAAACUUCCAAUCAUUUUCCUAUCUGUCAUAAAAUUGAACCCUACCUUUUUCAUUAUUGUGAGAAAUUAAAGAGUGAAAAAAGGGGAGUAGACUGACCUGGUAAAAAAGAAAGGAGUUAAUCUCAUUCUAACUUUUAGAAUUUAUCGAUGAAAGUUAUUGAAUUUUAUUUAAUAUUAAUAAAAUCACUCAACUUAGGUCUUUACAUCAAUAAAAUCAUUCAACCAAAUUCAUCAUUAAAAAAAUUAACAUAGAUAAAAUAAAUUAUUUUUGUGGUAUAUUCAUAAUUAAAAUAAUAAAUAAAUAAUUCAAAAUUACUAUUACAUUAUAUAAAAUAAUAAAAGAUAAAUUUAUCAAUUUCAUUUGAUAAAUUGAUACUGCUUCAUUACUAGUACUUCAUUACGAAAUUUCAGUGACACACCUUAACUAAACUAAGGUUCUAUUACCCCUCCCUCCCACCCAAACUCAUUUUGUUUGUAAUUUUGUAUACAUUUUGGCGCAAGUGACACACUUUGUGACUCCACGUAAUUGAGGUGCGUGGAAGAUGCUUGGAUGUCACGUAAGCCAAAAAAUGUACAAAAUUACAAAAAAAUGUGUUCAGGGGUAAUAUGACCUUAGUUUAAUUAAGACGUGUCUCUGAGAUUUUAGUCAUAGUCUAGAGGUACUUUUGUCUUAUCCCUAAAACCUCCUUCUCCAAUUUUAGUCAUAGUAUUUUUAUAUGAUAUGUUUUCAUUACCCUUGUGAUAUGUUAGUUUUAUACUAUUACUCCAUAUUAAGGGCAAGUUAUAAUUCUGAAUGUAGUUUAAAUAUAACAUAUUAUCUACAUAAAGAAACCAAAAUCACAUUUUAAUUAAUUGAAGGUUACAUGUAUUUAUUCAUAUACAACAAUAAUAAUAGACCCAUUGUAAUCCCACAAAUGGGGUCUGAGGAGGGUAGUGUGUACACAGACCUUACCCCUAUCUUGAAAAGGUAGAGAGAUUGAAAAGGGGGAUUUUGAUGGCGCACAUCUGAUGGAGUCACAUCAUAGAAAACUGGAAUCACUAUCAGCUCCAAUUCAUUUUUACACUUUAUGAUGUGUGCAAGCUCCUCUAAGCACCAUCUUGACGAUGCAUAGCUUUUUGAAAAUAUCACUAUAGCAAUUUUAGACUCUUCUAUGGCUUUUAAAAGUUCAUCAGAAAUUGAUUUUCCCGUUUCUAAUCGCUCAUCAUCUUUAAAAAUGCGGAUUCCACUUUGUUCCAAAGCCUUAUGUAGAUGACUUACAAAAGUUCUACGUGUAUCUUCUCCUCUAAAACUCAAAAAGACAUUGUACUUGCAAAUUUUGGAAGAAGAAGCAUGAGACAUUGUUGAAUAAUAUUGCUAAAGACUAACUCUCAGCUUUAGGUAUAUGGUGAGAAAGCAUAUUUAAUUUGUUCUGCUACUUGAUAAAGAGGAAUAUUUGAAGCCUAACUGACAAAACUAUUGUGAGUGCAGAAUAAUGGGUAAACUUACAAUCAUUUUCCUAUCUGUCAUAAAAUUGAACCCUACCUUUUUCAUUAUUGUGAGAAAUUAAAGAGUGAAAAAAGGGGAGUAGACUGACCUGGUAAAAAAGAAAGGAGUUAAUCUCAUUCUAACUUUUAGAAUUUAUCGAUGAAAGUUAUUGAAUUUUAUUUAAUAUUAAUAAAAUCACUCAACUUAGGUCUUUACAUCAAUAAAAUCAUUCAACCAAAUUCAUCAUUAAAAAAAUUAACAUAGAUAAAAUAAAUUAUUUUUGUGGUAUAUUCAUAAUUAAAAUAAUAAAUAAAUAAUUCAAAAUUACUAUUACAUUAUAUAAAAUAAUAAAAGAUAAAUUUAUCAAUUUCAUUUGAUAAAUUGAUACUGCUUCAUUACUAGUACUUCAUUACGAAAUUUCAGUAACACACCUUAACUAAACUAAGGUUCUAUUACCCCUCCCCCCACCCAAACUCAUUUUGUUUGUAAUUUUGUAUACAUUUUGGCGUAAGUGACAUACUCUGUGACCCCACGUAAUUGAGGUGCGUGGAAGAUGCUUGGAUGUCACGUAAGCCAAAAAAUGUACAAAAUUACAAAAAAAAAUGUGUUCAGGGGUAAUAUGACCUUAGUUUAGUUAAGGCGUGUCUCUGAAAUUUUAGUCAUAGUCUAGGGAUACUUUUGUCUUAUCCUUAAAAUAAAUAAUAGAUAAAUUUAUCAAUUUCAUUUGAUAAAUUCCCACUGCUUCAUUACUACUCCAUUUGAUGGAUGAUAAUUUAAUCAAUUUCUUGUUUGUGUGAAUCUCUCGUUUCAUUUAAAAAUAAAGUGAGGUUCAUAUAUUGUCACGCCCCGAGCCUACACUCUGGGCGGGACUGGCACUCGAAAACCAUUGUUGGCCCCAAGCGAACCCUUGGCCUGGCUUACUUACUCGGCGGAAGACAAUAUUCAUACUUAAUGGUCAAUAACACUUAACUGAACUGAAUCAUAAGAUAACUGAGAAUGUUAAAAGCUAAACAUUCAACUUGGCCAAAAGUGGCAACCCAAGUCUUAACAAUAAGAAAUGAUACUGAAAAGAGUUGAAGGACUAACAUAUGACUGUCUAUGAAGCCUUUAAUAACAACUGAGAUAGAUGUUGGGACAGACCCUACAACAUCCUAAUGGACUAAACUAGAAAGCAAUGAAAUGGAUCAUCCGGAAGGCAAAGAGACUCACCAACAGACUCUAGACUGCUCACUGGAUCAACGAUGCGCCGAAAAGCCAAUUCUAUAGUUACCUGUGUCUGCAUCAUAAUACGAUGUAGGCCAACUGAUAGCAGUACAUUGAAUGUACGAGUAUGCGAGUUGGAAUGCUAAAACAACAUAGGCUAGAAAGAAUUUGAGAGAAACUGAAGAACUUACCUGGCUCAACUCAACUCAGCAUGACUAAACUCAUUUCAAUAUAAAGCAGAUUAAAAGCAAGUGCAAUAUAAAGAAAAGUUAUUUAAAAACAUGAUAUAAACUCUGUGUGUAUGCAAAGAUAUAAAUAACUCUGAGAUGUAUUAAAUAUAAUACAAUGAACUGAUGUAUAUAAAAAUAUAAUAACUUAUGUGGAAGUUUCUCUAAUCGACAACCAUCACAUAAGAGCUAUUGUGAUGAUACAACAAUCUACCUCACGCUGCAAGCGUAUCCUAUACCUGGCCAAAGGUAUAGGACCUGAACUGCCUAAUGGAUCCACUAGUCUAUUUCGAAAAGGGUUCAUCUAAAAAGUAUGACCCAUUUCUACCCAUGGUGGCUACAUGGUUUUAUGGAGACGUGAGUUAUCUGAACUCAUGUCAGCCCCCAAUUCGAUGCUCAAUACUACCAAAAUAUACCAGCUCUUAUGUUUUAAAAACAUACUUCUUCUGUGAUUUGAGAUUAGUGCUCAAAAUUUAGGUCAAAGGCUAUCUUGGAAAUCUCAAUUUCCCUGCUUGCUUCAUUUAGAAAGCUAUAACUCUUUUCUGAAAACUAGCCCGAAGGCUCUUUGAAAAUCUCAGUUUCCAUUCUUAUUUAAAUGUGAAAACAUUUUAAAUCUCGUUGGAAAUACUUAGUCCCCAUAUACUUUUGAAGAAAUGAACUUCAAACUUUACUUUUUACUCAACUUGAACUUUAAGUCUUUAAACAAAGUUAAAACAUUUGGAAAAGACUUUUGGAAGACUCUAAGAACUCAUCUUGAUUUGACUCUUACUUUUCUUGACUUUGAUCUUAACUUUCCUUGAAUUGGAUUAUGGAUUCAAGGUUCAUGAUCUCAUGUUUAUGGAUGAUUUCAUGAUGUUUGGAUGUACAUUAGAGUGUUGGAAACAACUAGAAAAUGUAGGUACAUCACUAAGGAACACGUACUAAAAGGUGGGGAACGAAUGGGGAGAACUGGCGUCCCUGGCGCUCUGAGAGGCGCGGGGCGCCAGCCCUCAAACUUCAGAGGGACUGCUGUGGCGCUCUGGCUGGCGCGGCGCCCCAAGCCCUUGCCCAGAAAACUCCGAUUUUUCUCCUUCGUUAUUCAUCUCUAAACCCUCCCAACUUUCAUGGUUCUUUCCCCAAACACUUAGGAUCAAUAGUAUCCUCAAUAUACAACAGAUUUAACUCGAAAUAUUCACCCGGAAACACAAAUCAAAUCAACAAGAGACUUCAACAACACAACCAUCAAGAACUCAACGAAUUUUCAACAAUGUUCUUCAAGAACUCACCUUCUUUGCAUUCAAACAACUUAAAUUCGCUGAAUUGAAACAAGAUUGGCGUGUGGGUGAACUAAACCAACACUAUGUGAUCUCACAUACCUUGUAAGGAUCACCCCCGACGAAAUCCAUAAGCAAAGCUCCAAGAAUCGACGAAUCUUGAAUGCUCUUCUUCUUUUCUCUUCUCUCAAAACCCUAACCCUUUUUUCCAAAAGUGUAAACUGAUCUAAUUCAGCUUAGACCCCUAAUUAAUUACCAAAAAUGAAUUAGAAUAAAAGGGUAAGGAAAAGACCAAACUACCCUUUAAAAAUCCGGAUUGGACUUUCCUCAUUUCAACAGCCCAACUUCCAAAGGGUAUAUCUCACUCAUACGAACUCGGAAUCGCACAAACUUGGCGGCGUUGAAAAGAUAGUUCCAAGAGCUUUCCAACCAUCUCUGGAAUUACACCUAACUCAACCUGAGCUAGGAGUUAUGAUCGCUUGAAGUUGACCAAAAACUCACUUUUUCCUAACUUAGCCAAAUUUCCAGAUUUUCAUUCUUUCCAAAAAUGACUAUUUCCAAUUAUUAGCUUCUUCCUAGUUAUUUCAAAUUGCGAGAUGUUACAUAUAUCAUUACGCCAACUUGGAGAAUUUUAGGUUCAAAGUUUGAUAAAUUUUAUCUUUUAUCUUGAAUUUUAUUUCUUCUUUUAGGGAUAAGGCACAAGUACCCUUUAGACUAUGAUCGAAAUCUCAGAGACAUACCUUAACUAAACUAAGGUCCUAUUAUCCCCUGAACUCUUUUUUUUUUUUUUGUAAUUUUGUACACCUUUUGGCUUACGUAGCACACUCCGUGAUUCCACACAGUUGAGGCGCGUGUGAGAUAUUUGGAUGUCACGCAAGUCAAAAAGGUAUACAAAAUUACAAAAAAAAUUGGGUUCGGGGGGGGGGGGGGAAAUAACACUUUUUUUUUUNNNNNNNNNNNNNNNAUUUCGGUCAUAGUCUAGGGGGUACUUGUACCUUAUCCCAUUUAGGAAAAGGUACAAGUACCCCCUAGGCUAUGACCGAUAUCUCAGAGAUACACCUUAACUAAAUUAAGGUCCUAUUACCCCCCUGAACCCAUUUUUUUGUAAUUUUGUACACCUUUUUAGCUUACGUGGCAUCCAAAUAUCUCCCACGCGCCUCAAUUUCUUAGAGUUACGGAGUGUGCCGCGUAAGCCAACAGGUGUACACAAUUACAAAAAAAAUGAGUUCAGGGGGUAAUAGGACCUUAGUUUAGUUAAGGUGUAUCUAUGUGAUUUCGGUCAUAGUCUAAGGGGGUAUUUGUGUCUUAUCCCUCCCAUAUUUUUUAUAAUGACAUAUUAAUUUUGAGUCAUUUAUUUAUUAUUUUAAUCAUGAAUAUCACAUUAAAAAUAAUUUAUUUUGUCAUGUUAAAUUUUUUCAAUGAUAAAUUUAGUUGAGUGAUUUUAUUUAUUAAUAGAAAGAUCUAAGUUGCGUGAUUUUAUUGAUAGAAAGUCUUAAGUUGAGUAUUGAUAUAAAACAAAAUUUAAUAAUUUUACUAAAUAAGUUUCUAAACUUGAGUAAUCUUUUGAGAUAUUACCACGUAAAGCCAAAUGAAAAGGGAAUCAAAAUAAAUUGUAGAUAAAAAUAAAGGAUUUGAGACUGGGAUACAUGUUAAGAAAGUUAUUAUAGUUAAGAAAAUGAAUAACAUCUUAAAUGGUAAUACAUGUUAAAAAAAUAUUGUAUUUAAGCAUUACAUAUUUGUAGUUAUCAACAUUUUUUCAUAGUGUCUUUAAUAAUAACCUCCAUCGUUGAAUCUUCUCCGUAGCAUCUUUAAAUUAUUGGUGCUGUUGAGAAAAUGACUUGACCAAUGGUGACCCACAUGAAUUGUUGUUUUCGAGAAAAUAACUCGACCAAUGGUGAAUCACAUGAAUUGUUAUUUUCAAGAAAAUAACUCGACCAGUGGUGACUCACAUGAAUUGUUAUUUUCAAGAAAAUGACUACCAAUGGUGACUCACAUGAAUUGUUCUUUUCUUAUAUCCACUAGGGUUAGAAUCGAUGAGAAGAAUCAUCUAGUGUUUUUAUCUUCAUUGAGUUUUGAAUCUGAAAUCUUAUGACUCUCAACUACAUCAUUAAUCACUAUGCCACACUCUUUACAGGAAACUACUUAGCAUCUUCCUAUUUCUGUGAAAAAUUAAAGUUGACUAAUUGAAGAUACAAAAAAUAUCUUAGAUAUUUAGUAUAACUUUCUAGAAUUUUGUAGAGUAAAUAUAUUUGAUAUUUGUACUUAAAAAAAUCUAGAUAGUCUAGAGUAUUAGAUAUUUAAGGGAGAUAUUUGUAGAUAUAAUUAGAAUAGUCUAAAUUCUUAGUAUGUAGAAUCAUCCCUAAACAAGUAUAAAUAGGGGUGACCUUAGUCAUUUGUAACCAACCCAAGAACAAUCCAAAUAAAAGAGUCUUCUCCCUUAAACAAGUUCUCCUUUCUAGCUUCCUCUUCUUUAGUUAAAUCUUCCGAUUUUAGUUAACGAUCUUGGGCUAGCUAGCAGAAGGUUUUCUAAUGAUAUUUUUCUUCUGCUAUUCUCUACAAUUUCAACUCAUAAAACUGUAUCCUAGGUAUUCAUUUGUCACGACCCAAAAAUGGACAUGAUGACACUCGUCCUAUCCCACCAAGAUAAGUCAGCCUAAAACUCAGCCUUUACAAAAAAAUGCAAAAAUUUAUAAUCAAGUUAAAAAUACCCCAAAACUUGAUUGUCACGUGCACAAGCCUCUAAUGUGUUAUAACAAAAUCGAAAGAAAAUACAAGUCUCAAAUGACAUUAUUUCUAGAAUAGAACAAGAUCAUAAUUAAGGAGAAAGAGGGUCUGCUGAAAUGACAAGCAACUACCUUACAAACCUCCAUAAGAAGCCUCAGACAAGGAGAAGAGAAGGUCCAGGCUAGUAACCUACAAAAAAAUGUAGAAGCAUGGGGUGAGUACCAAACCACAUGGUACUCAACAAGUAAACUUCUAAACACAAGCUAAGGGAAUAGAAUACGGGUAUUCCUUACACCCCAACCGAACCUCCACAACUACAACCUGCAUAAAAACAGCUCUACCUAACAGUUCACAAUUUACAAAGCACACAACUCAACAACAACACUCUAACAAUUUCAUGUUCUCAACAAUAGGCUCAAUAUUCAUCAAUCACAACUUCCACAGAAAGGCACUCACAAGAUCAGCAACACAGAAGAUCAAGUUCAUCAAUGAUAAAAAUAUGUGAUGCAAUGUCAAGUAUAGUGAUGCAUGUCUGACCUAACGAUACACACCCGCUGUUUCUUAAUUCGAGACCCAUGGAGGACAUAUCUGUCCAUGCAUCUAUCGCGGCGCGCGACACGUCCCUCGAUAAUAGUAUCCAUCACGACGCACGAUACGUCCCUCGAUAUAUAGUAUCCAUCGUGGCGCGCGAUACGUCCUUCUAAAUGGUACAUCCUCUUUAAUUUCUUAUUCUUUCUCAAUUCACAUAACACUUGUCACAAUCAUGUAUCAAAACAAUGCAAAUGACAUGUUCACAAUAAUGAGGAGAUGACCAUUUUCAUAACAUUGCACUAUUCACAACAACACAAUUGGGAUACAACACCAACAAUGAAUCAAUAAGCCUUUCAAACUUAUUCUCAACACAUCACACACCAACAAUUAAUCACAUUGCCUUUUAUCAUCCCCUUUUCAUCGUUAGAAUUAUUCAACAUGGACAAGUCAACCCAUCACCAAGUCCCAUUACUCCCCAACACAUACCACAAGGAAAUACAUGAAUUCCAUACACUUAACAAGGGUUUAGAAAUCCACUUGCCUCAAUUAAUCAACAAUUCACUCCAUGACUUGAGCCUUCCCUUUUCGUUGAGCUUCCAAAUCAAUGCAAUUUAUUCACAUAAAUAAUCACAAUAAGAUUUCUAACCCAACAACACCCAUAUUAUAAUAUGUCUAGCCUAGACCCAAAAACUCACCCAAAUCUAUAAUCAAGUUCCUAAGUUUCAAGCAUAGGGUUAAGUCCCAAUUUCUUUCCAAUAUCAUAAAUCUAAGGGUAUUCACAUAAUAUCAUACGCCUAACACUUAAUUACAUUAUCAAUAUAUCAAAACUUGAAUCAUAAUAUGGUAAUAAUCAUAUAUUUAUAUAAAAGAGAAUCCUAGGCCUGCCUACAUGGCGCCACCACAAGUUAGAAUUUCUUUUUAAAUUUAUUUGUUUUCAAAAAUAGCCUUCCCCUUUGAUGAAAAGAUGUGACUUUUAUGAAAUGUUGCGACUUUUAUGAAGAGUUGCGACUUUUAUGAAAAAAAUUUACUUUUAUGAAAGGUUGUGACCUUUCUGAAGGGUUGUAACUUUUCCAAAAUGUUGUGACAUUUCUGAUAAGGCACAAUAAACAUUUGUUCACACUACCCUUUGUUGUCUAUAAAUAGAGGGAUUUCCUUUCAUUUUAAGCCAACGAAAAUUCUGAACUUCUUCUUCUUCUUUUGCACAAUUUAAUAUUCGUGUACUUUGCUCAUGUUGAGUGACUCACUGACACCAAUGUUUUUGUAUCAAUACACUUGUGAAUUGAAUUAUUCCAUCCUGGGAGGAUCUAUUCCUUUAAACCUCGGGUAUUAGAGGGGAAUAAUUUCAUUAAGGGGACACUGUGCAUUCAGUGGGCUCAAUUUUUCCUUUAUGUUUCAUUCUAUUGUUAUAGAUCAUGUUAUAUUUUUUUAUAGUUAUUAAUUUAUGCUUAUAAUAUUAAUUGUUGUUUUUGAAUACAUGUUUUAAACUUUGUUAUUUAUGUUUGUGUAAAGUUAUUGUUAUAAGUAUUUUUUAGUUCAGAUAAAGAUUAUUUAAUUAUUAGAAAAUUUAAUAUCUCAUGUUGAUGUUCAUCUAAUUUCCCAAAAUUAUUAAAUAGUAACACUUUCCGGAGGCAAAAGGAUAAAUUAUAAAAUCAAAUUAAAGAUGAUUGAUUGAAGGAUACAUGAUAAGAUGUUAUAAUUAUCAUUUCCUUUACAUUAGUAAUGUUCGUUACUACAUAAUCUUGUAUGUAAGACAACAUAGUGUUUUACUUUAAAUGGCUGAUAGAUUUUAAGUAUUAUUUUAUAAAUUCUACGAUAUCAAAUUCCCGCGGGUAAUUUUACUAGUAAGAAAAUAAAAAGAAAACAGCGAAAAUUACGAAUAAUAUGGUGAGAACACUUACUGUUUCCAAACCUUUAUGUUUCUAUUUACUAAUUUAAUCAUCAUUGACUAAUCAUGUCCUAAAUCAUUACAUAAUGAUUGGCCAUCACCCUUUUUCUCCAUUAAAAAGACGGCCUAUACAGUAAUAAAUUUUCAAUUCCUCCAACUUAAAACUCAUUUAGUUGUUUCUGUUUUUUUUUUCUUUAACAAUAUAAUCAACUAUACUAAUAAUAGUAAAAUAAUAAUAUGAUAUCUAUCUAUCAUCAUUUCAUUUUCAUCAUUCAUUCUAUAUAAGUGGUGGUUUCUUCGGACAAUCAAGAUAGUCCCGUCAUUUCGCUUCCAUUCUAACCUAUUAACAAGCUCCAGCGGCUUGCCUUUUGGGUUUCACGCGUGUCCUUGCCACUAACAAUUACCAAAGGAGCUCCAUUUUUUCCUUUUCGGUUUGUUGCUGCUUUUUCUUUCCUGAAUUUGAUCAUACUCAUAGUUCCGUAUAAUAUUUUGCUACAUUUUGUAUUACAUUUUUUGAUCCAGUUGCCAUAAUUUUGGGGGAAGAUUGAUGAACCCAAGGUGUUCGGUAAUAUGCCUGGAACAACUUAAUAAUUCGGUAAGAUUCUUUGCAAUAUAUCCUGAACAAACGAAAUAUUGAUGAGUCUUGUCGCUCAUCCCUCUGAAUUAUUUUCCCUGCUUUUGCUUUUGAAGACUCCAUAUGUAGGGUUUUAUUUGAAAAUUAACCAUUUUAGUUUCAAUGUUAUUGAAAUUUGAAGAGACACUUAUGAUUUUAUUGUUCUUUCAUAUUGUUUCGAGCUCAAUUUUGAUACUCUUACCAACAUUCUAAUAGACUUUAAUUAAAUGGACAUUCUCAUGCAAAUUAGAUGCUCUCUCAACUACUUUGAAGUGUUGUAGUAUGCUUAGUUAGUAUAUGCAGGGAAGUCCUACAAUACUCAUAAAUUCUAUCAUAGUGUGGAAUGUUGUAUUAGGAGGUCAUGGUAUGAAAUUCUUGAAGAUGUUUUUCAAGAAAGACCAAUAUGAUGGUGGAUUGUAGAUAGGUAUAUGCUCAUUUUAUAUAAUAGUAAUAUGGUUUCUCAAGUCGUUCACUGCGCUACAACCUGUAUGUGUAUUCGUUCCGUCUUGAGAUAAAAACUGCAGGCUAAUUUAUGGAGACAAUAGAUUCAGUCAUUUGGGUGACCAUUACAUCAGUCGAGGCUUUUAAAGAUUAAUUACAAUUUGCUUAUUUCUAAUGUCUUGUAGGUAGCUCCUCGCCUUCGACAUAAAUUAGUAAUCUUUUAACAGAUAUGAGUUCCUCCAUUGCAUAAUUUGAGGCACAUGUACUCCACAACUAAGUUCUGCACUUCUUCAAUGUUAUUCGGGUGUCAUAAAUUCCUGAAAACAAAAUAAAACUAAAGAAGCAUGAAGGAAUUUCUAAUAUAUUGCAUUUCAACCUUAUUAGUAAGUCAAAAGGUUGCCAAAAUUGUCAUUGUUCGUUUUACAUUGAUAUAUCUUGAGUUUUCACAUCACAAUUGUAUUUUGAACUCUAUGAAUAUCAUUUGAAAUUCCUGCUUUCUCAUUCUUAAUUGAAACAUCAUAUAAAAAGGUACCAUGCUAAAUUAAAAAUGAAAAUAUAUAAAAUCAUCAUAUAAAAGCUUUAAAAUGGUAACUUUGUAUGUGAUAAAGUCAUGGUGAGACAAUUGUGCAACUUUCUAUUUGAUUUCCAAUAAGUUCCCUCCAAAUUAGUUACUCCUACUUUUACUAAUAUCUCCAUACCUUCAUAUGAACCAUGACAUUAAUGUUAUCAUUUGAGAAUGGAGUAGCUAAGGAUAUUUGGCGUGAUGUAACUCCUACGGAGUAUAGUGAAACAUUAUUGAAUGGGGAUCCAGGUAGCAAUGCUGAUUUUGCUUUGAUAUAGAAUUGUGUAUAAAAUGUUCAACGUGACAAAGUAGAAUUUAGCGGGUCGUAGCAGGUUGCUUGCUAAUAACUCAGGAAAUUAUCUAUUGUAUUCGUUUUACAAUUUAGCUUGUCAGAACAUGUUGUUUGUUUUAUUUCUCUAAGUAUGUUCUAUAACCAGUUACUUGUAGUUAUCUUUAGACAACAUGAUCGCGUAUUGAAAUUAAACUAAUCUAAUGUACCAUAUAUUGUUUUGUUUUUUUUCUUCAAAUUGGCUUGUAGGGAGUGUUGCUUCUCACUUUCUCAGCAAUGAUCGACACAUUGAGACCUCCAAAAUGCUUUGAUGGUUCAAAUGAAUGCAGAAAUGCAUCAACAUUCCAUCUUACAAUAUUAUAUGCAGCUUUAGCUCUACCAUAUUUGGAAAAUAGAGGAACACGUUUCACCAUCGGAUCAAUGAGCGAAUCAAUUCCAUAAGCCAAAUCAUCAAGCGAUUUUCUUCUAUUGGUAUACUUACGCGCUCUACACGUCCAAUGCCAUUGGUAGCACAGUUCUUUUGUAUAUUGAGGACAAUGUUAGUUGGGUACUUGGAUUCGCCAUUUGUGUCACCCUCAACAUCCUUGGGUUGGGUAUUUUCUUGUCUGGACGCUGUUUCUAUCGCCAUAUUGAGGCACAACAAGAAAGCCCUUUCGUGAGUUUUGGCUCGAGUUGUCGUUACUGCUAUUAGGAAGCAUAGAGAACCAUUGUCAUUAUGAGGUAAAUAUUAUUAUCAUGGCAUGACAAAAUGGAACAGUGCAAUAGGUGUUGAUAACCUUACAAAUCCUAGCAAAUUCUCCAGGUAUAACAACACUCUCCCUACACUACAUAAUGGUUCAAAGUAUAAAUAGCUAUUAGUAGCAGAAGAAAUGGGGAGGGCAUUACAAGGUGGGUGAGUUUUGGGUUUAGGCUAGACAUAUAGUAGCAUAAGUGUUUAUAUACUUGUUAAUUUACGAAUUAUAUAUAUACUUGAUAGAUUGGAAAGGUUCGGAGGCAUUAAGAAAAGGGAAGGCAUUGGAGAAGUAGCUUGCAUGAAGUUAGUUCUUCGGUGGAGGUAGGUUAUGGUUUAUUCUAUUUGAUAGAUAAACACUUAAUAGUGAUUGAUAUGCAUUGAGUGAUAUUGUGAAUUUCUCUAAGUACUUGGUUGUGUGGUUUGAAUAAUCUAUAUAUGUGUUGUUGUGAUUGAUCUGAAAUCCUGAGACCGUGAAAUUUAUAAUCUUGAACCUUCUCUAUCGAAGUGAUGCCUUGAAUAAAGAAGGCUUGACGAAAUAUUGUUAAUGCAAUGAAAAGUGUGAUAAUAAAUGAUAAAUUAACAAUAUUAUUGGAUCAGGGUGUCACGUUCCGACACAAUAUUAUUGGAUCGGGAUGUCACGUUCCAACACAGUAUUGUUGGAUCGGGGUGUCACGUUCCGACACGAUAACAUUAAAGAGGAAAACAUAUUGAAUUAACUGAAUGUACUCAAUCUCAAAGAACCCAUUUCCCAAACGAGCGUGGUGUGGAGGCAUGAGUCCUCGUAUGUGCUUUUGAUAUUGUGAUUGAUUACGUAAUUGCUUCGGUGUUGUUGUCACUUGUUCAUGUUGUUUGUUGCUUGUCACCUGCUAAGUGUCAUAGUUGAUUUUAUACUAUUAUUCAUUACAUAUUAGUUUCUAUUUUGAGUUGGCCGAUGAUAUCUACUCAGUACAUGUUGCCCUGUACUGAGCCCUACUUGUGUUUUUCUUUGUUUUCCUUUUAUGGAAUGCAACGAGUGUACCAGUGACUUUGACUCGCCCUUAGCUCCGGCCAAUCUCAGCAUAUCAGGUUCAAGGGUGAGCUAUUCAUUCGAGCUUGUGUUGGAUUCUCUCGGUCAUGACCUGAUGUCCUUAGUUUUCGGACACAAAUUACUUUAUUCUUUUAUUUUGGUGUAUUUGAUACUCUUAGACUUAGUAUUUGGAGAUUAGAUGUCCUUGAUGUGAUUACUUUCAGAUUUUGGGAAUGACAUAUAGUAGACUUCAGUGGAUUUGUAUUUCUUACCUUAAUAAGAUUGAGCUUCCGCAUUAUGGUUUGUAUUUCGUAAGUUUAACAAUUAAUACAUGUUGGGGUUUGGAUUCCUUGGUUCGCCCACCUAAGAGGUAAAGUGUGGGUGCCACUCAUGACUCAUUUUAGGUUGUGACGCUAUGUCAUUUCAGUUAACAAAUAAUGGCAUUGAUAUGCCUUUUCUCAAGCGAAAAUGAUUUAUGUCAUUCGUUAAAACUUAUUUUUAAAAUAUAUUUAUUUCUUUUAAUUAUUUCUUUUAUCAUAUCGAGAAAAGAUAAUUAUUUUUUUAUUUUGUACUCAACAUUAAUUGAGUUGAGAAAGAAAUGUAUAAAAUACAUUCAACAAAUGCGAUUUAUGUGUAAGUUUCAGUUUCUUCUCAUUUAUUGUUGAAAUUAAGUUAUUACCCGUUCCGUUUAAUUUUAUUUGUCUAAUAUUUUUAAAAUAUAUUUAUUUCUUUUAUUUAUUACUUUUAUCAUAGUGAGAAAAGAUAAAAAAAAAAUUCAUUUUAUACUCAAUAUUAAUUCAGUUGAGAAAGAAAGGCAUAAAGCACAUUCAACGAAUGCGAUUUAUGUGUAAGUUUCAAUCUCUUCUCAUUUAUUGUUGAAAUUGCGUUAUUACCCCUUCCAUUUGAUUUAUUUGUCCAAUAUUUUUAAAAUAUAUUUAUUACUUUAAUCAUAUCAAUAAAAUAUAAUUAAUUUUUUAUUUUAUACUUAAUAUUAAUUAAGCUGAGAAAGAAAGGCAUAAAACGCAUUCAACGAAUGCGAUUUAUGUGUAAGUUUUAGUCUCUUUCCAUUUAUUGUUGAAAUUACGUUAUUUUCCCUUCCAUUUAAUUUUAUUUGUCUACUGUUUUUUAAAUAUAUUUAUUUCUUUUAUUUACUACUUUUAUCAUAUCGAGAAAAGAUAAUUAUUCUUUUCAUUUUAUACUCAACAUUUAUUGAACUAAGAAAGAAAAGCAUAAAAUAUAUUCAACGAAUGUGAUUUAUGUGUAAGCUUCAGUCUCUUCUCAUUUAUUGUUGAAAUUACGUUAUUACCCCUUCCAUUUGAUUUUUUUUGUCCAAUAUUUUUAAAAUAUAUUUAUUACUUUUAAAUAUAUUUUAAAAAUAUUGGACAAAUAAAAUUAACGGAAGGGGUAAUAAUGUAAUUUCAACAAUAAAUGGGAAGAGACUGAAACUUACACAUAAAUUCAUUGAAUGUGUUUUAUAUAUUUCUUUAUCAGCUCAAUUAAUGUUGAGUAUAAAAUGAGAAAAUAAUUAUGUAUUCUCCAUAUGAUAAAAGUAAUAGAUAAAAGAAAUAAAUAUAUUUUAAAAAUAUUGGGUAAAUAAAAUUAAACGGAAGGAUAAUAACGUAAUUUCAUCAAAAAUGAGGAGAGACUUAAACUUACACAUAAAUCGCAUUCGUUGAAUGCGUUUUAUGCCUAAUUUCUUUCUCAGCUCAAUUAAUGUUGAGUAGAAAAUAAAAAAUUAAUUAUCUUUUCUCGAUAUGAUAGAAGUAAUAAAUAUAUUUUAAAAAUAAAUUUUAACGAAAUGACAUAAAUGAAUCUUUUUUCAAAGUUCGACGAACAUUUUUCCUUACAAAUAAGUUGAGUUAAACAGAAUGUAACACCCGAUUUUAUGAUGUAUAAUAGAGGAUCCUUUGGUACACUAUAAAGUGGAGGAUACCACCAAUAAUGAAUAUAAUAGAAUGAUAAGUAUUCAUUGAUUAUUAAUUAGAGGUUGAGUUUGAACCAGGUGUGAAGUCUUCUUUAUUAGGGAACAUUUACCUUCAAUGUAUAAUUCCCGAGUCCCUAAGGUCCAAGGGCGAAUUCAAGAUUUAAAAAUUAUCAUUCCUACAACAACUUCAAGAUAUAUAUAGGUAUAUAUGAUUUGAACAAUGAUAUUAGAUUCAGGUGAAUUCAUACCCUAGUUUCUAUAUCUGUUCUUGUCCUAUUAAGAGUCUACCUGAUAAGCAAAAAACAAUAAAAUUUAAGCCAAAUUUGAGUUUAAGGAUCAAGGAGGAGGUAACUAAGCAAAUUGAGGCAAACGUUGUGAGGGUUACAAAUUACCCCACACGGUUAGCUAAUAUUGUGCCUGUGCCAAAAAAGGAUGGAAAGAUCAGAAUAUGUGUGGACUAUUGAGAUCUCAACAGGGCCAGUCCUAAGGAUGAUUUCCCUCUUUCAAAUAUUCAUAUACUUAUCAAUAAUUGUGCAAAACAUGAGUUGCAAUCAUUUGUCGAUUGCUUUGCAGAAUAUCACCAAAUCCUGAUGGAUGAAGAUGAUGCAGAGAAGACGGUGUUUAUCACACCAUGAGAGUGUAUUGCUACAGAGUACUGCCAUUUGGUCUAAAAAAUGUCGGUGCAACCUACAUGAGGGCCAUGACUACCCCUUUCCAUGAUAUGAUCCACAAGGAAAUUGAAGUGUACGUGGAUGAUGUCGUUAUCAAAUCCAAAAUAAGUUCAGACCACCGGGAUGACUUACGAAAGUUCUUUGAGAGAUUGCGUAAGUAUAAUCUGAAGUUGAAUCCAGCAAAGUGUGCAUUUAGAGUACCUGCGGAAAAACUAUUGGGAUUCAUCGUUAGCAGGAAAGGCAUAGAGUUGGAUCCAUCAAAGAUAAAGACAAUCUAAGAGCUACCUCCAUCCAAGACUAGGAAGUACGUGGUGAGUUUCUUGGGAAGACUGAAUUACAUCAGUCGGUUCAUAGCUCAAUCCACAGUGAUCUGUGAACCCAUAUUCAAAUUACUGAAGAGGAUGCUGCCACAAAAUGGACAGAGGAAUGCCAAAAGGCUUUUGAUAGAAUCAAAGAAUACUUGUCCAACCCACCAGUAUUGGUCCCACCAGAGCCUGGAAAGCCUUUGUUAUUAUAUCUAUCUGUCAUGGAUAAUGCAUUUGGAUGUGUAUUGGGGCAGCAUGAUGAGACAGGUAGAAGAGAGCAAGUUAUUUACUAUUUGAGCAAGAAGUUCACACCAUACGAGGCAAGAUACACCUUGUUGGAACGAACAUGUGCGCUUUGACUUGGAUUGCGCAAAAAUUUAGGCAUUACCUAUCUGCAUACACCACAUACUUGAUCUCAAGAAUGGAUCCACUAAAGUACAUCUUUCAGAAGUCCAUGCCUACGGGUAAGCUAGCGAAAUGGAAAAUUUUGUUGAGCGAGUUUGAUAUCGUGUACAUGACACAAAAGGCCAUCAAAGGACAAGCCUUAGCCGAUCACCUCGCAGAAAACCCGAUGGACCAGGAUUACAAGCCACUCACAACCUACUUUCCUGAUUAAGAGGUUUUGUUUGUAGGAGAAGACAUAUCAGAGUCAUAUGAUGGAUGGAAAAUGUUUUUUUAUGGAGCAUCAAAGUCUAUUGUAGUUGGAAUAUGAACGGUCUUAAUUUCAGAAACAGGUCAAUAUUACCCAAUCUCAACCAAAAUUAGGUUCUACUAUACCAAUAACAUGGCGGAAUAUGAAGCUUGUAUUCUCGGACUCAGGAUGGCCAUAAACAUGAAUAUCAAAGAACUCUUGGUGAUAGGAGAUUCUGACUUGUUGGUUCACCAGGUGCAAGGAGAAUGGACCACUAAGAAUGUCAAGAUCCUGCCUUAUCUGCAUUGCAUAGAAGAGUUGAGUAAGAGAUUCAUAAGGAUUGAGUUCAAGCAUAUCCCUUGAGCUCAAAAUGAGUUUCUCGAUGCUUUGGCGACAUUGUCUUUGAUGAUUCAACAUCCAGACAAGAAUUAUAUCGACCCUAUCGACAUAGAGAUACAUGAUCAACAUGCAUACUAUUUUCAUGUAGAUGAGGAACUGGAUGGAAAACCCUGGUACUAUGACAUCAGGAUAUUCAUAGAAGCACGAGAAUAUCCUGAAAAUGCCACAAACAACCAGAAACGGACUCUGAGGAGGAUGGCCAAUCAUUUAUUCCUUAACGGAGAAAUCCUAUAUAAGAGAACUUCAGAUUUAGGAUUGCUGAGGUGCGUCGACGCCGCAGAAGCGACAAGGCUUUUGGAAGAAAUACAUGCAGGAACAUGUGGACCUCAUAUGAAUGGGUUCACUUUGGCAAAGAAGAUUUUAAGAGUUGGAUUUUUUUGGAUGACCAUGGAGAGAGAUAGCAUCCGGUAUGUGCAAAAAUGUCAUCAGUGUCAAGUGCAUGGAGAUUUUAUACGGGUUCCAUCGAAUGAGCUCAAUGUAAUGGGUUCCCCUUGGCCAUUUGCAUCAAAUGGAUAUCGUUUCAUCCUAGUGGCUAUUGAUUAUUUCACAAAAUGGGUCGAAGCUUCGACAUACAAGGCAGUGACUAAGAAGGUAGUGGCAGACUCUGUUCGUAAUAACAUAGUUUGUCGGUUUGGAAUUCCAGAAUCAAUCAAAACAAAUAAUGUAGCCAACCUCAACAUCGAUCUUAUGAAGGAAAUUUGUGAAAGGUUCAAGAUUGCUCAUCGAAAUUCCACAGUUUAUCGGCCACGGAUGAAUGGAGCAGUUGAGGCCGCAAAUAAGAAUAUCAAGAAGAUUUUAAGGAAAAUAGUGGAUAGUCACAGGCAAUGGCAUGAGAAGCUACCAUAUGCUUUGUUUGGUUAUCGCACCACAAUCAAAACGUCAACUGGGGCAACUCCUUAUAUGUUGGUUUAUGGUUCAGAAGCAGUAAUACCUGCUGAAGUGGAAAUACCAUCUUUAAGGAUUAUCUAAGAGGUUGGUCUGGACGAUGUAGAAUGGAUACGUAGCAGGCAUAAGCAAUUGAUACUCAUCGAUGAAAAGAUGAUGGAUGCAGUUUGUCAUGGCCAACUCUAUCAAAACAGAAUGAUCAAAGCGUUCAACAAGAAAGUCAAACCUCGACAGUUCACACCAGAGCAGUUGGUAUUGAAGAAGAUCUUUCCUCACCAAGGAGAAGCCAAAGGGAAAUUUGCACCAAAUUGGCAAGGACCCUACAUGAUUCAUAGAGUACUUUCAGGAGGAGCGGUAAUCUUAGCAGAAAUGGACAGCAGAGUGAGCACAAAGCCAAUCAAUUCAGAUGCCAUCAAGAAAUACUACAUCUGAAGACCUCAGGAUUAGCGCUUAUUUUGUGUACUUUUGCAUUUUUCAAUGUAAUAGAACUACGUCUAGACCUGACUUUCCACGGUGGGGUACGUAGGCAACCCAUAUCGGAUUGGUCUCCCUUAGAAAACCCAAAAUCAUCAUUUCCAUGUAUUCAGAACUACGCUCGACCUGAAUUUCCCUCGGUGGGAUACAUAGGCAAUCAUUGUCGGAUUCGGUCCCUUGCAUUUCAUAUUUUUCACUUUCCUUUUGUAUUUGAACUACGUCCUGACAUAAUUUCUCUUGGAUACGUAGGCAGCCUGAGUUAGGCUCGGUCAUUGCAUCACAAGUUUCUUACUUUUCCUUCAUAUUUUUCAGUCUUCUAUUGUAAUCGAACUACGUUACGACCUGAUUCCGCUUGGAUACGUAGGCAGCCUUAGUCAGGCCCGAUUAUUGCAUUUCAUAUUUUUCACUUUCCUAUUGUAUUCAAACUACAUUACGACCUAAUUCCACUUGGAUACGUAGGCAGCUUGAGUCAAGCUCGGUCAUUGCAUUACAUACUUCUAUUUCUCCCACUUGUAUUCNNNNNNNNNNNNNNNNNNNNNNNNNNNNNNNNNNNNNNNNNNNNNNNNNNNNNNNNUCUCUUGUAUUCGAACUACGUUACGAUCUGAUUCCUAUCUUGGGGAUACGUAGACAGCCUAAGUUAGGCUCAAUCGAUGCAUUGCAUAAUUUUUAUUUUUAUUUUUUCUUCUUUCUUGCCCUUAGGAAACACUUUCUCAUAGUUAACGUAACCUCAGAAUGUUGAAGAAUAUCGAUCGUCACAGUGUCUGCAAAAGAGCUAGGAAAGCUUCAUCAGAAGGGUAAAAGCUACACGAGGACUAUGUUGGAUAUAGUCAACAAAAUGGAAAGCUUGAUGGACUUCGGAACAUGUCAUAAUCUAAAAACGCUAGAGAAUUAUAUAUAUAUAUAUAUAUAUACCUAAUAUACACGUAGUAUAUUUAUUUUCUAGAAAAACAAGCUAAUUAUUUUCAACAAUAUUUUUCUACUCAUCCACCUACCAAGUCUCUAGGUUAAGAAACUAUGUGCAGUACUGACAAGGUGUCGAAAGAUUCUAGUGACGAGGUUUCAGUUCGCGAGUCGAUACAAAUCAACCCCCCCUCCCAAACAAAAUUUUUUCUUUGAGUGCAGGAACACAUGAAUCAAGAAAUAACAUCAAGUCUCGGGGCAUGACCAGAAACGCCAUUGACUUCUCACAAUAAUGAGCCAAAAUACUUCUUCCCUACUUUAUUUACCGAAAGUACUUCAACUUGCAUCUUACAUCUAAGAAAAUUUUACUUAAAUUUUGUAGGUACGCUCAAAGAUCCAGACCAAAUGUUGAAGAAAGAGGAUCCUCGUAGGGAAAUAAGAUAGUUAGCUUUCCUUCAAAAUAACUCCACCAACUGGAGCUUGUAAUCUAACAUCAUCAACAACUCCGCCAACCGGAGACCACCGUCUAGCAGCGCCAAACUCCACAAGUCUGGGGUUGUACAUAGCAAAUGUCACUCAAACUCCGCCGAUCGGAGGCUUUACAUAGCAAACAUUAUCAAACUCCGCCAACCGGAGGCCGUACAUAGCAAACAUAGUUAUACUCCGCAGAUCGGAGGUUGUACAUAGCAAAUAUCGAUCGAACUUCGCCAAUCGGAGCUUGUAUAUAAGCAAAAGAAGCAAUACUCCGCCAAUCGGAGACUACAUCGUAGUGAUAUCACUAAAGUUCCACCGACUGGGGGGAUGCAUACAUAGCAACACUGUCAUACGCCAACAAUUAAAUUUGCAUUACAAGUUUUACACAGCCGAAUACAGGCUUUUACAUUACAACAACCCUGCCAGUCGGAGGCUUUACGUUACAAGCUUUACACAACCGGAUAUAGGCUUUUACAUUACCACAGCCCCGCCAGCCGGAGGCUUUACGUUACAAGUUUUACAUAGCAGAAUACAGGCUUUUAUAUUACAAUAACCCCGUCCGCCGAAGGCUUUACAUUACAUGUUUUUACACAGCCAGAUACAGACUUUUACAUUACAACCGCCCCUCUAGUCGAGGGCCUCUACAUUACAGGUUACUUUACUUAUAUCACACUCACAACACAAAAAGAGACGUCAACAAUCGUCUGAAUAUCUACACUCUACUCUUUAUAUUACUAUUCAAUUUAUAAUUUUUGAACUGCAACAUGUACUUUUCACCCUUCUACAUGUUUUCCAGGACAAAGCAUUACAAUGAGGAACUCCCUCUAAGCAGCAAACUAGGGCAAGUUAGUGCAAUGUCAAGCAUCACUAGCUACGUCAAGGAUUCACUUUCAAAACUCAACUCAACUCGAUUUUCAGAAGUUCAGAUUUAAAGUUAACUUAUAGCUCUUUCAUGUCUCAGUUUAUUGUAACUCGACGCUGGGGCAUCCUUUUGAAAAUUCGUCUAUCUACCUUAAGUCUUCAGUAGAAAUUGCUACGGAACAUUUCUCAUUCAAGUUUCUUUAGAAUCGUAUCUCAUUCCUCUAUUCGUGCUAAUCUCUUCAUACCUCACCACCGAAAGAUUUCAGUAUUAUCAUAAUUUGAUACUGGGGUAAAUUUUUAAUAAAAUUUGCUAUGUUCUCGAACUAAAAGUGGCCUGAUUUCUCAUGAAACCUGAGAUAUGUAGGCAGCUCAGAAGCCAGAUUCGGCCAUAACUCCAUAAACAUCCUUGCCAAGUUAUUGCUCAAAGUGUAUUUUGGUGGGUCACCUAAAAUUGAAUUGUGUCAAUAUUUCUUUGACCACGUCUUCUUUACUCUCUUCCAUGGACAAAGAAAGGGGCAAGUUGUUGACACCUAAUUUUGGCUCUCCACAUAUAAUAAUAAUAAUAAUAAUAAUAAUAAUAAUAUAUGUUUUAUGAAAUUUUUAUAAGAAUACGAAUUUUUUUUUAAAAUUAUUUAUGUUACUUGAUAAAUUUAUUUCAUAAAUGUUAUUUCUUAUAAAGAUUAAAUAUAUUAUAUAUAUAUUACUACUUACUUUCUCAUUUUUUUAAAUAAAUGUCGUUCUUAAGAGUUGAAUCUAUUUUUUAUUCAAAUAUAAUUUUGUCGCAAUAGACAUUCUUCUUUUCGUACAUUUUUUAAAUUAGGAAGCUUAAUUAAUUAUUGAGUUACUAAUUUACAUUAAUUUAAUUUUGAUAGUGACUAAUUUUAUCAAAUGAGAUGAUCUUGCAAAAUAAUUAUUUUUUAAUUUAAUAAAUUAUGACUAUUUAAUAAAAAAGAUGUUAUAAUUUAAAUGAAUUUAAUUUGAGCAAAUUUGGCAGUCCAAGUCUUCUUAAACCAGCCAAUCCGUGUAUGCCACGUAGGCAAGCAUAUGGAUUGUGCUUCUUUAGCUUAAAUCUUGACCCUACGAUUAAAUCUAAUGGUCCUAGUUAAUUAAGCUUUUAUCAUUAAUAUAUAUAUAUAUAAAACUCUUCCUUUUAAUUCAUGAUUUAUCCUAACCGUCCGAUCAAACAAUCGGACGGCCCAAAUUAAAUACCAAAGCUUUUCACCCUUCCCAAAAAUAGUACAACCCAUCAGCCAUUGCAGACUUUUCUUUUUCCCAGAAACACGCUUCUUCCCCACACCUACGACGCCCCAACGUCUUCUUCUUUUUUCUAGAAAAAAGGGACGACGCCUCACUCUUUCUCCUCCUUCCCCAUGCCCAUUCGUCCUCUCUCAUCAAUCGCCCGUCGUCCGCUGCCAAAGAAAUGGCCAUGGAUCGCCGGAAAACAACAAUAUCCGGCGGUCUCCAAAACCAUCCCCCUCCGCCGUCCAUCAAUCAUACCCUCUUCAUGUCAAUUUUACAUCUCUUCCAUCAUCUUUUCUGAACCAUGGCAAACCUCAAAAGCUCCUCCACCACCAUUACUCUGCCUGAAAAGUGAAGGACACGAAGAACCAUUAGAUUUUGAUUCGUCUCACCCUUAAUCUUAUGGGUAUGAGAGUGGAAGCCUCUCCAAAAUUGCCUAUAAAAGACCUCUUGGGUUCUCAAUCGAGGAUCAUCUGGAAAUCAUCUAGAAAAUGAUCCGGAAAAUCAUCGAAGAACGAUAAAAAAGAGGGACAAAAGCACGCUUCAAGCAUUAGGUUUUAGAAUUUUUCGAUCUUCUUUCAUCUUUUUUUAUUAUUAUUUUCAACUCGAGUUUCGAGAGUAAGUUUGAUUUUGGAAUCUCUUAGACGUAGAAGCUCUAGUUUGCUGCUCAACACAAGGUAAAACGAUUCCUCCUUAUGAUGCUCUUUGUCCCUUUUCGUCUCCGAAAUAAGAUCCUUGUUUGCUGUUUGUGAGUUCUGUUGUGAGUGAGUAUAUCUCAUGGUUUUAGUAUUUUUUGUCUUUGAUUUUGCUUCCCACAGAUCAUGGGUUAGUAAACUGAAGUCGGUAACCACCCUCGCCUUAUAUUUUGUUUUUGGUUUUCUAAAAAAUAUUAUUCUUAUGUCGUUAUCUUGAUUCUGCCAUUUGGAUUCAAUUAGCUACUCUAAAUAGGCUCAUAAAAACAAGUAAUAGAAGUCAAUGGCAAUAAAAAGGACUGCUGAUUAAUGUAUCUGAUAUGUGUUUUGUUGAAAUGUUUUUUUUUAGUAUAUAUAUCCCCUCUUAGAGGUCUUUGGUGCAAGUAAACUAAUUUUGGACAGUAAAGCUUGAUGUCAAGUCACCAUUUUUUUAUCUAUAUAACUGAAAUUGGUGUUGUAUCUCCUUGUUGUUAAUUGCUGUUUUUCAUCUGUUAAAAUCCAAAGCUAUACAGCCAAAACAAUCAUAAUCUUUUCAUCUUUCAGCCGUCAUUUUGUUUCCAACUAAUUUUAAUCAAAUGGUCAUUAUGUUAUAUAAAAUUAAUUACAGUUGCAUCUCAUUUAAAUAUGGGGAGCAAAAUAUGACAGUAGUGGCCUGUGAUUCUCUUUUUUAAGAAAAUGUGUUGCUGGUCGUAUGUUUACGUAAAAAAUCUGAAUAAAUCAUUAGCUCGAUGUUCCAUUUUUGACAGACAAUAUAUUUUUACAAAGCAUUUUUUAUCUUGAUGAAUGAUGUUUAGUGAAGCUUUAAAACAUGUAGUACUCAACUAAUGUGUUGGAUUAGUGACUUUGAAUCAUCAAAAUUUAGUUGAUUGUUAUAAUCAUCGUUGGCAUAAUAUUUUUCUUUCUCUUUCCUCAAAUGUAUGGUUAUCUAGGCCUCAAAUCUUGACCUUGUUACAUUUUCCAAUAUAAUAUACGCUAUGUAAAAUUGUGUAAAGGGCUGCUCUGUUUUGAAUUUAUUAUAGUUAUUUGAACAGUUCCCAAUCCCUUUACCUCUUCUUAUGUUACAUGUACAAUUGGAAAGCUGAAGUUUCUAUUUUGGAAUUCGUUAUUGGCCUAAGAUAUUAGGCCAACAACAAAUUAGGAUCAUCGCAACACUUGGAGCUUCGCAAAUUAGGAGUUCAAUAUUUCUUAGCCUUCCUCUUUUCGAGUCUUAAUUAUAUUGUUUGGAUAUAUUGGCUAACCUUUACUUACAAGUUUUUGAUAUAUUGUUUGUCUUUUAUUUUGAAGCUUAUUUUUACGUGAACUAAUAUUAUUUGUUUAUGAAUUUAGUUGAGUAGAAUAAAUGAUAUAAAAGAUAUUUUCUUAAAAAUGAGUUAGCAUUCUUACUUAUAACAAUCUUUUAGGCCUUUUAAGUUGAAAAGAAAGGUUUCUAGUUUAAAAGUUUUCCAAAUGAAGUUUCAAAAGGUUAAAAUAAUAUUCGUUUAGGUGUUUCAAAAUUGGGGAAAAGAAGUAUAUAUCGACUUAGGCACUUAAGGAAUAGGAAAAUUUAUUGUCUAAAACUCUCUAUUGAAAUUUUAAAAGGGUGAAAUAAUUUUCAUUUAGAUAUCUAAGUAGAAAAAUAUAAAAUUCAUGAAUUGGGACUCCCAAAUAAAUUUAGAGGUACAUAAAGGCUAAAAAUAAUUAACUUGUAGAAUUAUAUAUUAUUUUUAAAAAAAAAAUAAGUAGGGAAGUAGGCUUAUAUAUUUAACGAAACAAAUACGACUAUAGAAUGAGUCCUAAUAGUUAGGCCUAUUUUUAUACUCUUUACAUCACCCCUUUACAAAAAAAAUGUAUUGACUAUUCUUACUUUUUGGAUCAAACAUUUUAAUCUUUUAACAUGCUAUUUCAAAAUUUUAGAUAUGCCAACAAGUUCAAAUACAAGGUACAUAACAUAUAUAUGUCAUACACAUAAAAGGUAUAUAUUCUAUAUUUUCUCUACAUAACCUAUUAUUAUCUACUAUCUCUUUUACUAAUGUUAUUUAUUUUAUUUUAUAAUUUAUAAAUGCAUACACUUAAAUAUACAUGUUACUUUAUUACAUAUAAUCUAUCGCCAAUUUGUCUAUACAUGUAAAUAAAUAAUAAGUAUUCACAUGUUUUACACAACUUACAUGCAUAUACUACACUUUAUAAUAAACAUAUUUAAGAUCACAAACCUUUAUAUAAUAUUUUAACAUCUAGUAUCAUUUAUUUUAUUUUUUAGAAAACUCCAUUCUAUAUAUUUUCAUUCAAAUUACACAUCGCAUAUUACUACGUACUCACACCCAACUACUAUCUUAUUUUUAUUUCAUGUCUUAAAAAAAGAUGACAUAUUUUCAUAAAUUCAACAUCUAUAUUUUUUAGGAUAACCUUACUAUGUACUCUCCAAUAUAUAAGAAGGGAGAAUUAGCAUACCUUUUAAGUAUAUUUAUUUAUUUAUUUUACAAUAUGAUAAAAGUACUACUAUUAAAUCUAUUUUAUAAGACAUCUAUAUGUCAUACCGUCGUACCUUGUAUUUUACUCUUUUCUUAAACUAACCAACUAACUUAUCAUUUAAUUAUUAAAAGCAAAUAAAUAAACAAGUUUUCCUAAUCAUAUUUUUCUAAAUUGAGUUUAAGGACUAUCUUCGGAUAGGCUAUGGGGGGUGCUUAACACAUUCCCCUCGAGUAACCAAAACCCUUACCCAGAAUCUCACUGGUUUCGCAAAUCAAAACAGAGUUUACAUUUACAUAUUUUAAAAAAAUGGUUUUCCUAAUAUUUUCCUUAAAAUUUAGGUGGCGACUCAAAAAACAAAACAACAAUUUUUCCAAAAUCAGAGUGUCAGUUAUAUUAUGUUGUGAACUGUUUCGGCCAGUUCGAAAUAGGGUGUGACACCACUUUCAAGGACAUCUUCAUUGUUGCCUUUUGCUCUUCGCCACUAAUGAUUCUGAUUUGCUGGUAAAGUUUUUAUACGAUAUGUUUUAACUACCCUUGUGUUCUAUUAGUUUUAUACUAUUACUCCAUAUUAAGGGAAAUAUAUAAUUCUGAAAUUAAUCUAAAUAUAACAUAUUUUCUACAUAAAGAAACCAAAAUCACAUUUUAAUUAAUUGAAGGUUACAUGUAUUUAUUUAUAUGCAACAACAAUAACAGACCCACUGUAAUCCCAUAAGUAGGGUUUGAGAAGGAUAGUGUGUAUACAUACCUUACCCCUACCUUGAAAAGGUAGAGAGAUUGUUUUCAAUAGACCGUCAGUUGUAUAUAAUAUUUACCAUUAGGUCAGUCCUAAUACAUUGGGCCCUUUGUCUCACUUUAACCAAGGUAAUUUACAAGAACCACACUGGAGGUGGGUGGACUUGGACUUUUGACCUCACUUACCUAUUAGGAAGAACUUCAAGUUUAAGAGAUUUUGAACUUUGACCUUGAAGGUUUUCCCACGGGGCAAGUUGCAUCAAAAGUUCAAGACUAUUCAUUUUCAAGGUGUGUAUUUUCUUGCCAGAAUUGUCAUCAGACCCAACAGUUCCAACUUCCUUUAGCCAAGCCUAACCUGUUUUGUUGGUCGACUACCACAUCGCAAAAUAGAUCUCGCCAAUCAGCUGUAUUCCUUCGACUAUGGUCAUAUGCUUCCUGCAAAAUCUGGCGAAAGUUCGGGUGAUUUACAUGGAAAGGUGUGCCGAUGAUGUUGUGAAAUGAAGAUGUCCCAUCACCAGCUUCUGAAAGACGAAGGCCCCAGAAUAUGACUUUCUGAAUGUGCUGAUCAUCAGUGCCAUUAUUAAGAUUAUAUGACAUAACAUGCCCUACUCCAGCAAUGGAUGAUGGUCUCCACAAGGGUAUCAACCUCCUUUCCUCAAAAUUACUCCGAGGAUCUCGAAACUGGAGUUUUGGCAAUGUUAUUCCUGCUGUUGCAUAGACUGGAUGGACGCCACACUUUGUCACUUUUAACCCUAUGAAUCCUUGCUCUCUGAUACUGAACGAAAAUGUAAUUUGUUCUCCACCUUCUAAAGCAGGACAAAAGUAAUCUCGUGGUAUGAAGGUCACCCAAGAACGUUUGUCAGCGGUUACAGUAAUCUCGGGGAAGCCAAGGACCCAUGUAACUUUAUUGGUCUGAUCACCGACCUCUAGGACAGGACCAUAAUGAAAAUCUUCAUAGUGUAUGGACUCGUAGAUAGACCAAAGGAUCAUUCCCUGGAAGUUAUGUUCUAUGUUUGGUGGCAUUGUUAAGGUUAUAUUAGAUCCUAUGUUUCGGUUGCUGAACCAUUCUGGAACCUCGCUACCUGCAAUAUAGUAGCUGCUUGGAUAAGGAAGAUCUUUAUCACAUUCUCCCGUCUGCAUAAAAUAAAACAUAAAUGGUGUGAGUUGCACUUAAUUGUAGUAGUACAAAGAUGAGAUGAACAGAGGAACUAACUAACCAGCUGGAAGAAACUUUCAUCAAAGAAACGUCUUGCUAGCUUGCUACUGCUCUCUAUGCGAACAUAUUCAACAUUUUCGAUAGUUUCCAUGCCCUUAAUCUCGGACAAUCUGUCGCAAUUAGAUACAUAGAGCUCUGGCAGUAUACUGUAAUUGGACAUGUCUAGACUUUCAAUGGAUGAACAAUCAUUAGCAUGGAGCUUUAGCAGAUUAGAAGGAAGUAGUGAGAGCAUUUGAAGAUUCUUGCAAUUAUCCAGGACAAGAUACUGUAGCUGAGAUAGGUCGCAAAAGAGGGAUGAUGGGAGAGUGUAAAAAUCAUUUCCUCCUAAAUCCAGGUAUUUCAAUGAGGUUAAACACCCAAGAUUGGUGGGAACAUCUGCUUCUGAAAGCCUACAAUCGUUGAGAUUGAGCACCGUCAAGUGACUUAAACGGGAAAGGGAAUGUGGCAACAACCUCUCUGGACACGAUGAACUACUUCCUGCCCAUGGUACAUAAGAUAAAAUAGAAGUCAGCCAAGAUUGAGCCUUUAAACUUCUGUUGCAUCCUUGUAAUGAUAAGCUUCUUAGGUUUUUCAAGUGUCCCAAAUCAGCAGGCAGUUGUUGUAGACCCGAGCAACCUGACAUAUUUAGAUGUUGAAGUGAUUCUAGCUUGCAAAUGCUGCUUGGUAGAUUCUUGAGGCUUACACAGUCUUCCAGAUUUAAGUAAACAAGUUUCACCAAAUAUUUUAUUGAUGAAUCAAUCUCACCCAACUCGGAGCAACCUGUAAACAAUAUUGUCUCAAGACUUAUCGCCCUUGAAAAAUCAGGAGUCCGCUUUAGUCGUUGACAAUGACUGAGAUUUAGAUAUGCCAGGUUUUCCAGGGGCUGAUUCAUAGAAAUAAUAAUAUAUUCAUUAGUAUCUAUAGUUCGCUUAAUCUAAAAUUGUAUUAUAUCUAAACCUUGAAAAACUUAGAAUAAGGUUUUUUUAGCAAUAAACCUUGAUGGUGGAUUGCCAAACUUCCAUGAUGUUGCUAUAUUGCAUGUCCAGAGCCACAAGUUUGGUUAGAUGAAUAUCAGUAGGUAAACAUUUCAAAGGGAAAUUUUGCCAACUUAGCCAUCUUAGGUCCUCAAACAAAUUUUUGAAGCUUCCAGUAAAAUUCAUUCCUUUGCCUUGAAAUAUUUUCAACCUAUCCAUUCUUGCAAAGGACUUUGUGUCAACAGUUAAAUCUUUCACUUUGGGAUGGAUGGCGCUGAUGCCUUCUAUCAGAUUGCUACCCUGCCAUCAUAACAGUGCAGGAUACAUUGUUAUUCUUCUAUUUAUUCAGUUAUAAUUGCUUAUUUUGCUUUUCAAAGAGCUUAAAACAUCAUGUAAUGACAUUCUCUGUGUUUGGAAACGAUUUAGCUUUAAACUUCUCAUUUUACCCUUACUGGAAUGAUUUCAUAGUCACAUAAAUGUUAUUAAAUGUUUAAGACCACAAGUCUCAAGUCAUUUUUUUCUAAAAAUUCCUUGUGCACAGUCAAAUAUCAUCAUAUAAAUUGAAAUGGAGAGAAUUUCAAUAUAUGCACACACAUAUUCUAUACUCCAGAUCAACUAACAAAUGUAAGAGACAAUGGAAGGAAAGAUGUUUUUUUUUACCUUGUUCUUUCGUAGCACAUAAUUAACAUCUUCAUGAAACCACAAUCUAGAGCGCAUAUGAGGCUCUUUAAGUGACUCUUGACGAACAAUUUCUCUAGCCAUAUCUCGAACUAAAUCGUGCAUCCACAAACGAUUCUGUUUGAUUUUGAUUAAACAUCUUCCGGUCAAAAUUCCUUUCCCCAAGCUGAAAGAGCGACCACAACCGGUCAAUACAAGACUAGCAUAAAGUUCUUGGGCUUCAAUGAAAAAGCACGCGAUGUCACAGAAAAUCUCCUUAGAGUUCUCAUCAAGUGAGUCAUAGCUUACUUUGAGUGCUUUGUGAAUACUACUGUGAUGAGCAAGAUUUUUCAAGCUCUCGAGGGUACUUCUCCAUGUUUGAUCGUCCUUUUUAUGCAAAAGAGAGCCCAAAACUUCGAGUGCUAAAGGAACCCCUCCACCUAGACGUGCUAUGUCUUUCACCAACUCAUGAUCCAAAUUUUUGGGUACAGUAGUAUCCUUGAAAGCAUGAAAGCAAAAGAGUCGCCUGGAAGAGAUAUCAUCCAACCUUGUUACCUUGUACUUAUAGUCUACUCCAACAUCAUCUAGCAAAUUCUCACUUCUUGUUGUUAUAAUUAUUAUGCUCCCCGAACCAAACCAGCUUCUCUCUUCCGCCAAUGCUUUUAUCUGGCUCAUGUCAUCGACAUCAUCCAGAACAAUGAGGACCUUCUUCUGACCAAGUCUGUCUUUGAUUAUGCCUUUUCCCAUAUCAACAUUAUAUCGGAUUUCAAAGUUCUCUUUUUUUAGAACCUCAGAUAGAAGUUGUUCCUGUAAGUUGUGAAGCAUGUUAUUCUCCGAGCGCUCUCUUACAUGAGCCACAAAGGAGAAACCUUCAUACCUCCUGUGGAUUUGAUUGUAGACGGCUUUGGCAACAGUUGUUUUGCCUAUGCCAGCCAUCCCAUAGAUCCCAAACAUGCAGACACCAGUUGAUGAGUAGAACUUGCAUAGAGAAAUCACUCCUUCAGCAUGAGAAUUAGGCCCAAUUACGAGUCCUGGAAGGUGCAUGCAUGUGGGGUUUACUAACUUUAAGACCUCUUCCACAAGUUUCUUGUUGAAUUUUGCUUCAUGCCUGGAAAAUCAAACUCAAGACAAAUUAGUCUAAAGUCUAACCAAGAUGAGAAAAAGGUAUUUAUUUAUCUUAUAUAAACUAGAUUGUAUUUGUCUAUCUUACUUUCUAGGUCAAUUUUCUAUAUUAUAACAAAGCAAGCAUGUCAAAAUGCUAAUUGUUGAACGACAGAAAUAUUCCUGAAAUGUUGAACAACUUUUAUACCCUUCGUAAACUAUAUUUUCCUUCAAAGAAGCAAAAUACGUGCGGGAUAAAUUGUAAUAUUUAAAAUAUCAAUCAAUAUUAACUACAACUUUAAUUCAACUAAGCUAGAUAAAUUUGGUGAAGUAUAAUUCAUUGUGGACUUAAUUUGACGUUCUAAUCACUAAAGGGGUUUUUUGGUAUUUGGUUAGAGUUAUGCAGGUAUAGAAAUGAAGGGAUUAAUUAUGAGUGAAUAUAUGUACUCCUUCCGUUUCACAAAGAAUGAUCUGGUUUGACUUGGCACGGAGUUUAAGUAAAUAAAGAAGACUUUUGAAUCUUGUGGUCCUAAAUUAAAGUUAUGUCAAAUGUACAAAAUUACCCUUAAUCUUAUGGUCUUAAACAUGCCACGUGGAAAACAAAAAGUAAAAUGUUACCAAAAAAGGAAAGAGGUCAUUCUUUUUUAAACUGACUAAAAAAGAAAGGAUGUCAUUUUUUGUGAAACGAAGGGAGUAUUAUUUUAUGCAGGUAUUAGUUAUGCAAUUAUUAAUUAUUCAUUUAUUAGUCAUACAUAUAUUAAUUAUUCCAUCUUUUUGUCCUGCAUAAAUAUUACUCCCUCCGUUUCAAAAAGAUUGGUCUGGUUUGACUUAGCACGAAGUUUAAGAAAUUAAAGAAGACUUUUGAAUCUUGUGGUCUUAAAUUAAAGUUAUGUUAAAUGUACAAAAUUGUCCUUAAUCUUGUGGUCUUAAACAUGCCACGUGGAAAGCAGAAAGUAAAAUGUUACCAAAAAAGGAAAGAGGUCAUUUUUUUGAAACUGACUAAAAAGGAAAGGAGGUCAUUCUUUGUGAAACGGAGGGAGUAUAUAGAUUUCCUCAUAACUUAUACAUGUAUUAGUUAUGCGGGUUUCUAAAUUGUCAACAAACGGCGUAUUAAUUUUAUACAUGAAUAGGUUAUUUCCUAUCUAUCAACCAAACGUUGUAUUUACGAAAAUUAAUAUAUGUAUAACUUGUUUCUUAUCCCGCUACCAAACGACCCAUACGUUAACUUUUAUUAAUACAUAAUGAGGUAUUAUAGUAGAGAGGGAUUACUUGGAAAGAGGUAAAUUAGGAUUGGGAAUAAAAUUAGAUAUGCCUCCUAGACCAUUACAAUUUCACAUUGGAUAAUAAUAUAAAAGAACUAUGAAAUCCAUUGGAUGAUAUUUUUAUUCCACAGAAAAGGGUAUCUUGUGUUCCAAUAGAAGCAAAAGUGAUGUGGAUUAUUCAAGUGUCGAAGUCGAUUUGCUUUAUAAAAAGAAGAUAAGAGGACCGCUAUUUUGGUUCAGAAGAGAAAGUUUCUCAGGAACACUAUAAUCAACUAUAAAUUUGAUAUCCGAAUUGUGUCAGCAUGAUAACUCUUGAGUUACAUUCACACUAUAUGUUUGUUGUAUUGUUUUUCUAUUCAUACAGGUUUAGUCUUCUGUUUCUUUUUUAUGGUGAUUGACCAUUGAAGAUUAGUGACUAAAGAAAGAUGAUCUUGUCUGAUUAUCCAUCACAGAAGUGAAUUGGUAAUGUUUUCCUUUUCUUUUCACUUGAGAAUAUUUCGUAUGAGUAUAGUGAUAACUGAUAAUGAUCUAUAUGUUCUUUUUUCUUAAUGUUGUAUUGUGUUAAAAGUCUACUAUCUUUAGAUAUAAAAUUUAUAGUAGUUGUAGGGGUGUGAAAUAGAGACUUUUUUUUUUAUGACAGUGGUGUCUAGGCUAGCUUUCAUUCACCUCGACUAAUUACAUGAGAUAUCUGCCACCUCCCACCAACAACAGGUACCAUGGGACGGAGACUAGUUCUACUUACUAUCGGCUGUCUGUAGUUCACUUUUAGGUGACUAGAUAGUUUUUAAAGUUUCUUGUGAGCUACCAGUAUAGAAAAGUUAAAAAGUCAAGUUUGAGGAAGUUAGAGUACCCGUCCUCGACGUUCUGCAAAUCCCGUCCCGAUAAAUUUGCAGCUUCUUUGACAGCGGCUUUCCACCUUGCUACCUUCUCCUUCCCAAAACGUUUUUUGUGUUUAGAAAGUGCUUUAUCAAAUGUACCGGCUUGUCUACGUACCUCAGAAGGAUUAACGUCGUAGAAUAUAGGAAUAACUAGCUGACCAUGCUGCUCUCUGCACUCGAGUAUCUUCAAAAGCUCAUCGAGACACCAGCUAGACGAUGCAUAAUUUUUUGAGAAAAUAACAAUGGAGAUCAUGGAAUCUUCUAUAGCUUGAAUCAGUUCAGAUCUGAUUUCUGUGCCUUUUCUGAGCUCCUCAUCGUCUCUAAAUGUAUUAACUCCAGCUUGCACCAAAUUUGAAUAGAGGUGGUCCGUAAAAGUUUUACGUGUGUCUUCCCCUCUAAAACUCAAAAAAACAUGAUAUUUAUGGGAUGAAGAUGGAGGUGGAGGCAUGGAGGAUGAGGGAAUUAUAAUACUAUUAGUAGCCAUAGACACAAAUUUUAGUAUUAGAUGAAAUUGAAGAAAGAGUUAAUCUAUGGUGAGUGGUGACCAAAGGAAUCCACGACAUGGCAUUAUAUAGAGGCAGAGGCCUUCCAUAUACUUCCCUACGGACCUUAAUUUCUAUAAGAAUUCCACAAAUUAUGUCUUGAUAUCCAUACAGCACUCGCCACACAGGCUAGAGUGGCACAUAUUUAGCUAACCUCCCCCUCCUAAAAUCACUUGUUGGAUAUUCUGAGUGUUUAAAGUCAGCUGUUUCAAUUCAUGUAUCAUAUUUUCCUUUAUUUCUUCAGAGAAAGUGACUCUUCUUGGAUAAAUUCCACAAAAGGAUCGUCAUCAUCUCCUUUAUAAUUUGCGACUAGCGGGUGCACAACUUGUCAAUAUUUCAGACCAAAAAAGUCUCUAGCUUUCAACUAAUUUUGAUAUUUAAUAAUGUCCGCUAUGAAACGGUCCUUCUAGGUCACCUCAAGGCUUUUUGACCUCAUGGUUUUGUCCACUAAGGUGGCUGGCUUUAACUUAAAAAACGCCUCAACAUUUGAAAAUUUCGACGCGCAAUUAUAGGUGAUUUUUAUAUUACACAACAAAGUUGAUUUACGUACUUUGUGAGAUAAUUAUUUUUAGUGGAGUAUUUUUAUGUUAUAAAACAAAUGUAUAAGUGAUUUUUUGAGAUAAAAAUUAUUCGUUGAUAGAUGAUUGUCUGAAAGAUCAACUCCGACGAAUAUCACCAGUUUGACAUCUAAUAUACUUACAUAGCAAGAAAAUAAUAAUAUAGAACUUUAUAUAUAGUGUAAUUUUUUGACGAUAAACUUUUUAGCUUUGUUCCUACGUUGAAUAUUAAUAAGUUUAGAUUCUUUCAACAGAUAAUUAACUAACCAAUUUUGGAAUUUUGUAAAAUGGAAGAAAGUGUGGAAUUUAGAAUUACGAAAGAGGAAUUUAAAUAAAUCUUAGGUCGCCACGGCUGACCAUGAUCAUAAUUAGUCCAAGCUUCAGAAAUUGCAGCGUACGUGCAUAUUUUUUUUUAAAAAAAAAUAGUAAUAAAAAAUCACUAGAAUCAAUGACGGACAAACGUAUUUGAAGUUUAUAUAUUUCUACAAUUAUCUCAAAUUAAUAUUAUAAUAAUAAAUGGUUCAUAUAGUUAAAUAUUUAUAGAUAUUUUCUAUUAUUUAGAUUUCCUAUACAUAUAUAUAAGUAACGAUAAAAGUUACUAUUGAAUUUACGUGAACUAACUUGUAAGUCGCAACUAAGUCUUUAGAGAUUUGCUUGUUGUGUGAGGUAGACCGACCACUAUAAUGUGAUACAAGAAAUUUUCUUUUUUCCACAAUUUGAAUCUAAUAAUUUUAAUUAUGAAGAAGAAAGAAAUUACCUAGUACAAGGAGCCAUUAAAUAUGUGUAAAAAAAGACUUUGAAUUUGUCUUAGAUUCCCUACAAAUUAAGAUCGUUAUUUUGGAACUUAGUUGGUUAAUUAUAUUUUUUUAUAUUGUUUUGUUGUAAGAAUUUUUUUCUUAGUAAAAGAAUGAGUCUUGGAAUGAGGAAAUUAAAUGGGAAACUUACUUGUGUUAGUUAAUACUCCAUAGUGGAACACAAGCACAUACUUAUAGGUUUGAUUGAAUUUGAGUGAAAUUUAAUUUGAAUAAGUAAUUUAAAUUUUUAUGUAUAAUCUUACCAAAUGAAUAAAUUAGAGUUCAUAAAUAAGAAAAAGAUGCAUUUUAAGGUGAUGCAUUAAUAAAUUGCAUGUCCACAUAUUCUUUUGUGAAUAGAUAAUGAUUGUGACUAAAUGUUCUAACAUAUUUUUUAAUUCACAAAAAAUUAUAAAGAUUUACUCGAUUGUAAAAUAAUUAAUUUAAUAAUUGUUGUAACUAUUAACUGGCUAUCGAUAUAAUUCUCCUACGAAAUACGUACGAACAAUCCCUUCACUAAAAUGAUGAGUCGUUGUUUGUAAAUAUAAAUAUAUACGUCAAGUUUUUCCGUUUUAAAUAGUAAAUGAAAUCAUAACUAGGAAUUUAAAUUCCUGCUCUUUCAAAAAUUUGAAAUUUCAAAUCACCAUAUGAAACUGAAUUUGAAGUUAUGUUCACAUUUCAUAAACACAUGCAUUGAUUUCGAAUAAAAACUUCAAAUUUUGAGCUUCAAUCUUAUGGUCAAAUGUCUACCUAAAUUGAUACCCCCACCCCCUAUAUAUAUAUCAUAUAAUAAGAAUCAGAGCUAGAGUUAUAAGUAAUGAUUUAACACAAUCCAAUAGUUUUGAUCAAAAUCAUUUGUUUGUGUGACUAAAUAUAUUGAAAAGGCAUAAUACAUAAAUAUGCUCCUUUAACUUGGGCUUAUUUUAUAUUUAUGUCUUCCAACUUUGUAUGUACAUAAGGAAACACUUGAAUUUGUAUAAAGUUAAACAAAUAGACGCAUACAUCAUACUUGACAUCCUACAUGUCCUAUAUGUAUUAUGUCACAUAGGAUUACUCGUGUGUCUACUUGUUCAACUUUAUACAAAUUUAAGUGUCUACCUGUGCAAACCUAAAAUUGAAGGGCAUAAAUGUGAAAUGAGCCUAAAUUAAAAGACACAAUUAUAUAUUAAUCAUGUUAAAAAUGUGUAAAUAAUUUAUCUAGAAUCUAAAAAGUCGCCUUUAUUUUCUAAAAUCGAAAACUCAUAAAUUUAAAAUUCUAAAUUUUCCUCUACUUUUGAUUGACCUCCAACGUAACGUGCUACCUUAUAUAAUGCUAAGAAUUAAGAUUAUCAAUCAUGAUUAUGAAUGAAUUUAAUUAGCCGUCUAUGAAAAUUAUUAAAUAUUAUUCAACAAAUUAAUUACUUCUUUUAGAUUUUUACAAGUGAUUUUUUGUUAGACAUCAUAAUCCAUAUGAUAGACUUGUUAAGUUAAACUACUAAUAAAAUAAUUUAUACAGGUUCCUACUGGUGGAUCUAAACCCGCUGGAUCUUAAUUAAUCAUAAAAAUUUAUCUCAACUAAAGAUUUUUUUUUCUCCUAAAAAAUUAUUGUACAUGUAAGUUAUUCAUUGAUAAUAUUAUAUUAAAAUAAAUUAGAGGGUAGGUAGUUAAUUGUAAAUAUGGAAAAGGCUCAAAUAUAUCAUUAGAUUUUGAGGGGAAAAAAUCAUUUAUGUUAUCUGUUAGAAGUUUGGUUCAUCCAUGUUAUUUUCAUUUGAGAAAAGUCUCCAUUCACAUCAUUAUUUGUUAAUAGAAAACAAUUUCGAAUUUGCUAAACUAUUUUCGACACAUGAUCAAUUAUAAUUCGGCCAUGUCAUUAAUUAUAUUAUUUUUAAAGAAAAAAGGACUCAAAUAUACCAUCAAACUUUGAGAAAGACUCAUUUAUUCCAUAUGUUACAAGUUAGGCUUAUCAAUGUCAUUUCAGUAAACAAAUAAUGGUUGGUGCAUGUUUCUUGGAGAGUCAUUGAUAUCUUGGAAGAGUAAAAAGCAAGAUCGUGUGUCAAAAUCUUCAACAGAGGCUGAAUAUCGAUCCAUGUCUUCUGCUUGCUCCGAGGUUGUAUGGCUUCGUGGAUUACUUGCUGAGAUUGGAUUUCCCCAAUCUCAUCCUAGUCCUCUCCACGCUGACAAUACAAGUGUUAUUCAGAUUGCUACUAAUCCAGUUUUUCAUGAGAGGACCAAACACAUCGAAGUGGAUUGUCAUUAUAUACAAGAAGCUGUAGAUAAAGGAGUCAUUACUCUUCCACAUGUGUCCAGUGAUCUUCAAAUAGCUGAUGCGUUUACAAAAUCCAUGGCACGGCAACGCCAUCAGUUUCUAGUAGGCAAAUUGAUGCUUCUUGAUCCACCAGCAUCAAUUUGAGGGGGGAUGUUAGCAUGAUAGACAACUAAAUGAUUGUAUAUAUUAAUGUAAUUAUAUAGCUAGUGAUAUAAAUUAGCAUGUUCAUAUACAUUUGUUGUAGAAUCAUAUGAAUAAAUAUUGUGAUAGAAUAGCUGAUUUGGAGGAAUAGCAAGGCAGAUUUAGAGGGAUUCAAUGGCAGAUUUGUAUAGAUAGAAUAGCUGAUCUUUAGGGAUAGGAAUGGCGGAUCUUUAGGGAUGUGUAAUCUUUAUUUUCUCUAUAUAAUGGAAAGACUCUCUCACUUUGAGAGGCAGCUGAAAAUUGACACUUUGACAGCGGCUUUCCACCUUGCUACCUUCUCCUUCCCAAAACGUUUUUUGUGUUUAGCAAGUGCUUUACCAAAUGUACCGGCUUGUCUACGUACCUCAGAAGGAUUAACGUCGUAGAAUAUAGGAAUAACUAGCUGACCAUGCUGCUCUCUGCACUCGAGUAUCUUCAAAAGCUCAUCGAGACACCAGCUAGACGAUGCAUAAUUUUUUGAGAAAAUAACAAUGGAAUCUUCUAUAGCUUGAAUCAGUUCAGAUCUGAUUUAUGUGCCUUUUCUGAGCUCCUCAUCGUCUCUAAAUGUAUUAACUCCAGCUUGCACCAAAUUUGAAUAGAGGUGGUCCGUAAAAGUUUUACGUGUGUCUUCCCCUCUAAAACUCAAAAAAACAUGAUAUUUAUGGGAUGAAGAUGAAGGUGGAGGCAUGGAGGAUGAGGGAAUUAUAAUACUAUUAGUAGCCAUAGACACAAUUUUAGUAUUAGAUGAAAUUGAAGAAAGAGUUAAUCUAUGGUGAGUGGUGAACAAAGGAAUCGACGACAUGGCAUUAUAUAGAGGCAGAGGCCUUCCAUAUACUUCCCUACGUACCUUAAUUUCUAUAAGAAUUCCACAAAUUAUGUCUUGAUAGCCAUACAGCACUCGCCACGCAGGCUAGAGUGGCACAUAUUUAGCUAACCUCCCCCUCCUAAAAUCACUUGUUGGAUAUUCUGAGUGUUUAAAGUCAGCUGUUUCAAUUCAUGUAUCAUAUUUUCCUUUAUUUUCUGUCACAGGAAGAAUGCCAUGCUUCCUAAUUUAGAAAUAAUUCUACUUUAACUUCUCCUUUUACACUUCAUGGAAUGAUUUAUCUUCAAUCAGAUGUCUACGACUUAUUUACUUGUUUAAUACGAUAAAUUUCAAGAGUUUUUUUUUUCCCACAAGUUUUACUUUUGAUGUACGUUAGGUGUACAUUGUAUAUACUUUUUUUGGUAUGGGGAGAGUGCUCUUCCUCAUUUACUUUGAUAGUCUCUUUGUAAAUGAUGGGAGUUCCUCUAUAUAUAUUUGACUAGAUAAUGUUGCCGUGCUAUGCACGGGCCCAAUAAUAUAAAUGGUAUGUUUUGGGGCUAAUAACCGAGUUUUUGAAGCGAUUGUUUGCGUGGAUAAAGGAAAACGUUUUUUUAUCACAAACAUGUACUUUCUUUGACGCUAUCCACCCCCCACCCCCUCCCUAAAACACCAUGACACAAAUUAAGACAGAGGGAGUAAUAAAUUUGGUCAGAACUUCAGAGAAAGUGACUCUUCUUGGAUAAAUUCCACAAAAGGAUCGUCAUCAUCUCCUUUAUAAUUUGCGACUAGCGGGUGCACAACUUGUCAAUAUUUCAGACCAAAAAAGUCUCUAGCUUUCAACUAAUUUUGAUAUUUAAUAAUGUCCUUCUAGGUCACCUCGUGGUUUUGUCCACUAAGGUGGCUGGCUUUAACUUAAAAAACGCUUCAACAUUUGAAAAUUUAGACGCGCCCUUAUAUGGCUCCCCCUAACUUUUCCUCCAUUUCGAUAGGCAAGUUUCACAGCAAACUCUCUUUUGAUUUUUGACUGUUAGCGGUAUAGAUCAAAGAUGUAUAAGUUAGGGGAAUAGAAAAAUAGAUCUCAGUUAAGUGUAGGGGCGGAGCUAACUAGCCCUCUCGUUAAGGGUUUGGCCGAACUCAGAAGUUUUACCAAACUAUAUGUGUGUGUAUGUGUGAAAAUGAUGAUUUGAUUUAUUUAAAUAUUUUCAGUUGCAGAUAAAAAUGUCGUCAUAGAAGUGUACUUUUGCAUGACCAAGUCAAGGUUCAAGUGGCUUCCUUCAGUACCCAAGAGUUGACAUUGGGGUAAAAACUUAUUCGCGCUCGAUGAUAUAUGUUUAUUUUACCGGGACGAAUCACUUUUUUUAUAUUUUAAAAAUAUUACUUAAUUUAUUUUUUUCACAUCAGCAAUAUCUAUUGGAAUUAUCGUCUGAAUCGAUUGAGUAAUUUUUUUUUGUUCAAAUAACAAUAACUAUGUGAUUUUUAUAUUACACAACAAAGUUGAUUUACGUACUUUGUGAGAUAAUUAUUUUUAGUGGAGUAUUUUUAUGUUAUAAAACAAAUGUAUAAGUGAUUUUUUGAGAUAAAAAUUAUUCGUUGAUAGAUGAUUGUCUGAAAGAUCAACUCCGACGAAUAUCACCAGUUUGACAUCUAAUAUACUUACAUAGCAAGAAAAUAAUAAUAUAUAACUUUAUAUAUAGUGUAAUUUUCUGACGAUAAACUUUUUAGUUCCGUUACUAUGUUGAAUGUUAAUAAGUUUAGAUUCUUUCAACAGAUAAUUAACUAACCAAUUUUGGAAUUUUGUAAAAAGGAAGAAAGUAUGGAAUUUAGAAUUACGAAAGAGGAAUUUAAAUAAAUCUUAGGUCGCCACGGCUGACCAUGAUCAUAAUUAGUCCAAGCUUCAGAAAUUGCAGCGUACGUGCAUAUUUUUUAAAAGAAUAAUAGUAAUAAAAAAUCACUAGAAUCAAUGACGGACAAACGUAUUUGAAGUUUUUAUAUUUCUACAAUUAUCUCAAAUUAAUAUUAUAAUAAUAAAUGGUUCAUAUAGUUAAAUAUUUAUAGAUAUUUUCUAUUAUUUAGAUUUCCUAUACAUAUAUAUAAGUAACGAUAAAAGUUACUAUUGAAUUUACGUGAACUAACUUGUAAGUCGCAACUAAGUUUUUAGAGAUUUGCUUGUUGUGUGAGGUAGAUCGACCACUAUAAUGUGAUACAAUAAAUUUUCUUUUUUCCAGAAUUCGAAUCUAAUAAUUUUAAUUAUGAAGAAGAAAAAAAUUACCUAGUACAAGGAGCCAUUAAAUAUGUGUAAAAAAAGACUUUGAAUUUGACUUAGAUUCCCUACAAAUUAAGAUCGUUAUUUUGGAACUUAGUUGGUUAAUUAUAUUUUUUUAUAUUGUUUUGUUGUAAGAAUUUUUUUCUUAGUAAAAGAAUGAGUCUUGGAAUGAGGAAAUUAAAUGGGAAACUUACUUGUGUUAUUUAAUACUCCAUAGUCGAACACAAGCACAUACUUAUAGGUUUGAUUGAAUUUGUGUGGAAUUUAAUUUGAAUAUGUAAUUUAAAUUUUUAAGUAUAAUCUUACCAAAUGAAUAAGUUAGAGUUCAUAAAUAAGAAAAAGAUGCAUUUUAAGGUGAUGCAUUAAUAAAUUGCAUAUUCACAUAUUUUUUUUGUAAAUAAAUAAUGAUUGUGACUAAAUGUUCUUACAUAUUUUUUUGAAUUCACAAAAAUUUAUAAAGAUUUACUCGAUUUUCGAAUAAUUUAAUAAUAGUUGUAACUAUUAACUAGCUAACGAUAUAAUUCUCCUACGAAAUACGUACGAACAAUCGCUUCACUAAAAUGAUGAGUCGUUGUUUGUAAAUAUAAACAUAUACGUCAAGUUUUUCCGUUUUAAAAAGUAAAUGAAAUCAUAACUAGGAAUUUAAAAUCCUGCUCUUUCAAAAAUUUGAAAUUUCAAAUCACCAUAUGAAACUGAAUUUGAAGUUAUGUUCACAUUUCAUAAACACAUGCAUUGAUCUCGAAUAAAAACUUCAAAUUUUGAGCUUCAAUCUUAUGGUCAAAUGUCUACUUAAAUUGAUACCCCACCCCUAUAUAUUGAUAUAGAUAUUUAUAUUAUGUAUUAUUUAUAUAUUAGAAGAGAGAGUUUCACAGACUGUUUAUUGGUCAUUCAAUUGGCAAGUGGGGAUAUUUUUGUCAUUCCAACUUCUCAAAGUGAUAAGUAUUGCAUAGAAAAAAUUGUACUAUGGGCCUUAUUAUUUGGACUUUCUUAACAUCUUUAGAAAAAACCCUACACUUUUCUACUAAAUUACAUAUUAUGCCUUCUAUCAUUGAGUAUAGUGGGGUCCAUUUAAUUUUACAAUUGACACCUAUACAAUGAUAACUUUAUUGAGUUUCUAUAUAUUUCCAUUUUUAUUCUCUACAUAUUAAAUUGUUUAAAUUUAAUAUAGUUAAAUAAUUUAAUAAAAUUUAAUUAUUUAGCUUUUAUAUUCAAAACAAAUUAUUUUUUAAUAUUAUAUAUAUCAUUAAAUAACUAUAUAAGAUUAUUAAUAGUCAUAUUUNNNNNNNNNNNNNNNNNNNNNNNNNNNNNNNNNNNNNNNNNNNNNNNNNNNNNNNNNNNNNNNNNNNNNNNNNNNNNNNNNNNNNNNNNNNNNNNNNNNNNNNNNNNNNNNNNNNNNNNNNNNNNNNNNNNNNNNNNNNNNNNNNNNNNNNNNNNNNNNNNNNNNNNNNNNNNNNNNNNNNNNNNNNNNNNNNNNNNNNNNNNNNNNNNNNNNNNNNNNNNNNNNNNNNNNNNNNNNNNNNNNNNNNNNNNNNNNNNNNNNNNNNNNNNNNNNNNNNNNNNNNNNNNNNNNNNNNNNNNNNNNNNNNNNNNNNNNNNNNNNNNNNNNNNNNNNNNNNNNNNNNNNNNNNNNNNNNNNNNNNNNNNNNNNNNNNNNNNNNNNNNNNNNNNNNNNNNNNNNNNNNNNNNNNNNNNNNNNNNNNNNNNNNNNNNNNNNNNNNNNNNNNNNNNNNNNNNNNNNNNNNNNNNNNNNNNNNNNNNNNNNNNNNNNNNNNNNNNNNNNNNNNNNNNNNNNNNNNNNNNNNNNNNNNNNNNNNNNNNNNNNNNNNNNNNNNNNNNNNNNNNNNNNNNNNNNNNNNNNNNNNNNNNNNNNNNNNNNNNNNNNNNNNNNNNNNNNNNNNNNNNNNNNNNNNNNNNNNNNNNNNNNNNNNNNNNNNNNNNNNNNNNNNNNNNNNNNNNNNNNNNNNNNNNNNNNNNNNNNNNNNNNNNNNNNNNNNNNNNNNNNNNNNNNNNNNNNNNNNNNNNNNNNNNNNNNNNNNNNNNNNNNNNNNNNNNNNNNNNNNNNNNNNNNNNNNNNNNNNNNNNNNNNNNNNNNNNNNNNNNNNNNNNNNNNNNNNNNNNNNNNNNNNNNNNNNNNNNNNNNNNNNNNNNNNNNNNNNNNNNNNNNNNNNNNNNNNNNNNNNNNNNNNNNNNNNNNNNNNNNNNNNNNNNNNNNNNNNNNNNNNNNNNNNNNNNNNNNNNNNNNNNNNNNNNNNNNNNNNNNNNNNNNNNNNNNNNNNNNNNNNNNNNNNNNNNNNNNNNNNNNNNNNNNNNNNNNNNNNNNNNNNNNNNNNNNNNNNNNNNNNNNNNNNNNNNNNNNNNNNNNNNNNNNNNNNNNNNNNNNNNNNNNNNNNNNNNNNNNNNNNNNNNNNNNUGUAGUUGUGCAUGGUUGAUAAUUUGUUGCAUUUACUUAUAUUACUAGCAGUGAAAGUAGUUUGAUUAUUGUGAUCAAUAUACUGCCUUAGAGCUCAUAUAGUUUUUCAGAGUAUUAUGAUAUAUGAGCUACUUGAAUUGUGUAAAACAACUGCGUUUGUCCUUUUCAUUUAUUAAUUGAUGCAUUGGAGGUAGUUUGGAGAUAGUUCUCUGUACAGUCAAUCACUUCUUAGUUUACCAAUAAAGAGCUGAAUGAUGAAUGAACUUCAAGUCAAAGUAGUGUCAGUCUACGGUCAUUUUCCUAGAUGAACCACAAGUAGAUUUGUGCUUGUGUUUUCUUUGUGAACUUAAAGAAUAAACUCGAUUGACAACUUUACUUGUAUUUGUGUUUAUGAAUUUGUCUCUGCUUUGACCGACCUCAGAAACAAUAGCUAUCUACUGUCACGACCCGGGAGCACCCCCAUGUCGUAAUAAGGCGUACUCGACCCCAAAGGGGUCUUAUACAAACCACAUAGUCAUUCAUUGCAUUCAUUAAUGAAAAUAGUGCGGAAUGAAAAGCUUAUUUACAUCCACACCUUCAAACUUCAUUAAAACAAGUUUAAAAACACACAGCGGAAGUCUAAGUCUCACAUGGCCAUCUUAGACACAAUCACAAAACAUAAGUAGGGACACNNNNNNNNNNNNNNNNNNNNNNNNNNNNNNNNAAAAACUUAAUAAAUAUUAUAAAGAUAAUUUUAUUUGUGGAUUUGAUUAACAAGUAAUAACACUAACACCAUAUAAUAUUGUCUUGUCAAUAUUUAUGAUAAUAUUUUUAAAUUAUAAUUUAAUUAAAAAAAUUAUAAAAAAUAUACUUUUAAGAAAAGAGGGCUGGCCUGGCAAGCCCGUAGCCCACGUACUUGUGGGCUGGGCCAACUAUUUUCUGGCCCACACAAAAAAUGGGCUAGCCCGGCUUGACCUGUCAAAUUUCAAAGCCUGUAUGGGUUAGCCCGGAUGGGAUGGGCUAGCCCAUAUUGACACCUCUAGCUCUCGUAUUCAAAUUGUCAGUAGAAAGAAACUUAAUUAAGUCUUUUACUAUUUUAUGAUUCAUAGUUUUAGUAUCUUGUUUUUUUUUUUUUUUUAAUUUAUAGGUUUAUGUAAUUUUCUAGUUUCUCUGCUAUAGUUCAAAAUUUAAUUUACUUACUCAUAAGAGACUACUUAGAGCUUUUUAUAACUAUCUCAAGAUAAAAAUAUGAAAGGAGGUUAUAUAGAGCUUCAGUACUACUAUAUUUUAAGGUAUUAGAUUUCAUUUCCUAAAAAGGAUGCAAAUGAUAUUGAAAAUUUACAGAUUUAAUUUCGUAGAUAUAUAGAAAAGUUUUACUAGCAAAUUAGCUUCAUCGGGAGUAUUUUAUUCAAGUCUGAUGAGUUCAGAAGUAAUUUUGAGGUUCUUCAUUUUCUUUUGUUUCUCUUUUCUUUUAUCAUCACUACAUUUUCAGUUAAAAUUAACUCUUUGUUUGAACCUUUUUCAAGUACAAUUUGAAGUUUCUAUUGUACUUGAAGGAGAGCUUAGGACACCUUAGACUCAGUUUGGAUGGUUGUUACCUGUUGUUUCAUAUUAUAUAGUAUUGUGUUGUAUUGUAUUGUAUUAUUUUAAAGAAUACAAUAUUUAGAUAAAAUGUUUUAUUUUUGUCGUUACAUAGUGUCACACGUCUGCAAUUUGUAGGGGUAUUGGAUUGAACUAUCAUAAAAAGGUAAGAUAAAUGAUAAAAUUAGAUUAUUAAAUAGUAAGUAAAAAUGAGAAAAAGACAAGGUAACAACACGAUCACACCAAAUUGUUGUUACACAAAAUUAGGCUUUUGUCGUUACGUAAUGAUAAAUUUAUUGAUAUAAUACAAUAAAAUUUAAGUAAUACUCUAAAUAAAUGUAUUUAAACUAACAACACAUUACAAUACAAUAGGUAACAACCAUCCAAACAAGAUGUAACCUUAUAUUGUUCUAUCCUUUAUGUUAAGGGUGACUGUACAAUGUCUGUGGAGGCCACAUGCCCACACAAUACAAACUAAGGGGAAUUACGGCAAGGUAAAUAACUGUCAAAGUUUCAAGAGUAACUAAAUUUGUAGUUACACAAUUGAGGGGAAAUGGCAAUUAGAUUUAUGCCGAGCAGUAAUCUAAAUUAGCAAAGGAAACUAUCUAAUUCUUCAAUCUAAACACUAAUUAAUUUUUACCAAGAAAAUCCAUAAUACACUAUCAUAAAAAACCAUGAUUUCCUCCUGAGAAUUAAUUAUCUCUUGUUAGAAUAGAACUUUGAAUUGAGGAUCGCAACAAUCUAAACACAUUGAAAUAUCAAUAUAAACAGUUUGAAAAAUCUAUUUUUCUCCCUAUGUUCAGUGAUAACAUUAAGUUGAAAAUUAAACUCAAAAGAAAGACAAAAACAAAAAUUACUUUCAAUGUCACAUCUAGUACUCAGAUGCAACAAACUGUGGAAAACGUUUCUCACAAGCAUUGAAAUUUUUCUCAAGAUUCAGUUUUUCAUGUUUGUCAUAUUAUCUCAUAUUUAGUUAUCUGUGCUAUGCUUUCCAUAUUACUUGUUGUAUAUACUUGCUGUAACACCCCAGAAUUUUUUUCAGCAAAGACUUGAACCAUGCUUCGUUGUGAGUAGGAUUUUACCAAGAAAUUUAAAAUUUCUUAUGUAUUUGAGAGGAGUUGGGUUUCUUUUUAAUUCUAAUUGGAGUGACUUAAAUGGAAGAAUUUUAGUCUAAAAGGGUUUUAUAAUUGCUAGGAAAUGUAAUGAAUAAAAGGGACUCAACUUAGGAAAAGAAUUAAGGACCCACAAAGUUAAACUUAAAAGUUUUCACUAAACCCGUCUAAGUUCGUCCUCUUAGACAAUGCUUCACUAUUUUGGGAAUAACUUUUUACUCCGAGAUCGGAAAAGGGCAAACUCGGUGGCGUUGGAAAGAGGACUCAGAUACCUUUAAUUGGAUAGGUAAUGGUCCACCUAAUUCGUUUUGAGCUAAAAGAUAUCAUCAUUUGAAGUUGACCCUAAAAGUCGUAACUUUAAAAAAUCUCCCCCUUGCCCGUCUGUUCCAGUGGGAUUACUCAAAGGCUGGUCAACUGGGCAGUCCACUAGGCUAGCUCGCUAGCCUAGGUCCUUGCUUGCACCCUAGGAUGCUACCUAGCUCCAUUUAAGUUCUAAAACAGCAUAAACAUCAACCUAAGCCCCCACUAACCCAAACGUCAAGGCUCAAGUUCAUUUUAUCAUUUUCCGAGUCGUUACAUCUACCUAGACUUAUCAGCCUUGCACUUGGUUCUUAAGUCAUUAUAUUGAAGUAAUUGUACACUUGCUUUCAUGUAUGUACAUACCCCCUAUUUCAAGCAACUGUGAUUUUGAUUCUUUUUCCAAUCUUGUAAUUUAUGAAUAAUAUUUUUUCUUCUUCUCCCAUAUGUAUCAUGUCUUAAUCUUUUGAUCAAAGAUCAAAACAACUCAAUCUGCAUCUACAACUAACUUUCUAUACAAUGUAUCACAUUUUUGUUAUUAUGUAAAAUAAGUGUACAUAACUAUCUUGUAAAACUUAGUUCCUUAAAAUAUCAACAAACGAUUAAUAUGCAAGGUCAUCUUACGCUACAUACUUGUAAUCCAACUUUUAAUUGAUAUCAAGUUAUGAUAUUUAUUAUAGAAAUCAUUUUCUCAUUUCAAAAGAGAAAAAAAACUUAUUUUCUAGAGGAAAGAUGUUGCAAAAAUUUUAGCUCAUCAAAUAUAGAAAAUUAACAUUUUACAGAACACACCGAUAGAUUCAUCAAAUUUUUUUCUCCAAUUUCACAUAAAAACAAAUUUAACACAAAAAAAGGAAUAUUACAUAAUAAUAUUGGGCCCGUGCUGGCACGGGCCAUUACUUUCUAGUAUCAUAUAAUAAGAAUUAGAGCUAGAGUUAUAAGUAAUGAUUUAACACAAUCCAAUAGUUUUGAUCAAAAUCAUUUGUUUGUGUGAAUAAAUAUAUUGAAAAGGCAUAAUACAUAAAUAUGCCCCUUUAACUUGGGCUCAUUUCAUAUUUAUGUCUUCCAACUUUGUUUGUACAUAAGGAAACACUUGAAUUUAUAUAAAGUUGAACAAAUAGACGCAUACAUCAUACUUGACAUCCUACAUGUCCUAUGUGUAUUAUGUCACAUAGGAGUACUCAUGUGUCUACUUGUUCAACUUUACAAAAAUUUAAGUGUCUACCUGUGCAAACCUAAAAUUGAAGGGCAUAAAUGUGAAAUGAGCCUAAAUUAAAAGACACAAUUAUAUAUUAAUCCUGUUAAAAAUGUGUAAAUAAUCUAUCUAGAAUCUAAUAAGCAGCCUUUAUUUUCUAAAAUCGAAAACUCAUAAAUUUAAAAUUCUAAAUUUUCCUCUACUUUUGAUUGACCUCCAACGUAACGUGCUACCUUAUAUAAUGCUAAGAAUUAAGAUCAUCAAUCAUGAUUAUGAAUGAAUUUAAUUAGCCGUCUAUGAGAAUUAUUAAAGAUUAUUCAGCUAAUUAAUUACUUGUUUUAGAUUUUUACAAGUGAUUUUUUGUUAGACAUCAUAAUCCAUAUGAUAAUCUUGUUAAGUUAAACUACUAAUAAAAUAAUUUAUACAGGUUCCUACCGGUGGACCUAAACCCGUUGGAUCUUAAUUAAUCAUAAUAAUUUAUCUCAACUAAAGAUUUUUUUUCUCCUAAACAAUUAUUGUACAUGCAAGUUAUUUAUUGAUAAUAUUAUAUUAAAAUAAAUUAGAGGGUAGGUAGUUAAUUGUAAAUAUGGAAAAGGCUCAGAUAUAUCAUUAGAUUUUGAGAAAAAAAAUCAUUUAUGUUAUCGUUAAAAGUUUGGUUCAUCUAUGUUAUUUCCAUUUGAGAAAAGUCUCCAUUCAUAUCAUUAUUUGUUAACAGUUUUGAAUUUGCUAAACCAUUUUCGACACAUGGUCAAUUAUAAUUCGGCCACGUCAUUAAUUAAAUUAUUUUUAAAGAAAAAAGGACUCAAAUAUACAAUCGAACUUUGAGAAAGACUCAUUUAUUCCAUAUGUUACAAGUUUGGCUUAUCAAUGCCAUUUCAGUUAACAAAUAAUGGCAUGGAUAAACCUUUUCUCAAACGAAAAUGAUAUAGAUGAGCCAAACUUUUAACAAAUGACUUAAAUGAACCUUUUUUCAAAGUUCGAUGACAUAUUUGAACAUUUUUCCUUGAAAAUAAGUCGAGUUAAAGAGAAUGUAAAGUUUUUAUAUGAUAUGUUUUAUUACCCUUGUGAUAUGUUAGUUUUAUACUAUUACUCCAUAUUAAGGGCAAGAUAUAAUUCUGAAAGUAGUCUAAAUAUAGCAUAUUAUCUACAUAAAGAAACAAAAAUCACAUUUUAAUUAAUUGAAGCUUACAUGUAUUUAUUCAUAUACAACAAUAAUAAUAGAUCCACUGUACUCCCACAAAUGGGGUUUGAAGAGUGUUACCCCUACCUUGAAAAGACAGAGAGAUUGUUUCAGUAGACCCUCAGUUGUCUCACUUUAACCAAGGUAAUCUACAAGAACCAAGGUCUUGGACUUUUCACCUCACUUGCCUUAUGGGAAGAACUUCAAGUUUAAGAGAUUUUGAACUUUGACCUUGAAGGUUUUCCCACAGGGCAAGCUGCAUCAAAAGUUCAAGCCAGAAUUGUCAUCAGACCCAACAGUUCCAACUUCCUUUAGCCAAGCCUAACCUGUUUUGUUGGUCGACUACCACAUCGCAAAAUAGAUCUCGCCAAUCAGCUGUAUUCCGUCGACUAUGGUCAUAUGCUUCCUGCAAAAUCUGGCGAAAGUUCGCGUGAUUUACAUGGAAAGGUGUGCCGAUGAUAUUGUGAAAUGAAGAUGUCCCAUCACCAGCUUCUGAAAGACGAAGGCCCCAGAAUAUGACUUUAUGAAUGUGAUGAUCAUCAGUGCCAUUAUUAAGACUAUAUGACAUAACAUCUCCUACUUCAGUAAUGGAUGAUUCUCUCCACAAGGGUAUCAACCUCCUUUCCUCAAAAUUACUCCAAGGAUCUCGAAACUGGAGUUUUGGCAAUGUUCUUCCUACUGUUGCAUAGAAUGGAUGGACGCCACACUUUGUCACUUUUAACCCUGUGAAUCCUUGCUCCCUGAUACUGAACGAAAAUGUAAUUUGUUCUCCACCUUCUAAAGCUGGACAAAAGUAAUCUCCUGGUAUGAAGGUCACCCAAGAACGUUUGUCAGCGGUUACAGUAAUAUCGGGGAAGCAAAGGACCCAUGUAACCUUAUUGGUCUGAUCACCGACCCCUGGAAGUUAUGUUCUAUGUUUGGUGGCAUUGUUAAGGUUCUAUUAGAUCCUAUGUUUCGGUUGCUGAACCAUUCUGGAACCUCGCUACCUGCAAUAUAGUAGCUGCUUGGAUAAGGAAGAUCUUCAUCACAUUCUCCCAUCUGUAUAAAAUAAAACAUAAAUGGUGUGAGUUGCACUUAAUUGUAGUAGUACAAAGAUGAGAUGAAUAGAGGAACUAACUAACCAGCUGGAAGAAACUUUCAUUAAAGAAACGUCUUGCCAGCUUGCUAUUGCUCUUUAUGCAAACAUAUUCAACAUUUUCGAUAGUUUCCAUGCCCUUAAUCUCAGACAAUCUGUCGCAAUUAGAUACACAGACCUGUGGCAGUAUCCUGUAAUUGGACAUGUCUAGACUUUCAAUGGAUGAACAAUCAUUUGCAUGGAGCACUUGCAGAUUAGAAGGAAGUAGUGAGAGCAUUUGAAGAUUCUUGCAAUUAUCCAGGACAAGACACUCUAGCUCAGAUAGGUCGCAAAAGAGGGAUGAUGGGAGAGUGUAAAAAUCAUUUCCUCAUAAAUUCAGGUAUAUGAAUGAGGUUAAUUCCCAAGAUUGGUGGGAAUAUCUGCUUCUGAAAGCCUACAAUCGUUAAGAUUGAGCACCGUCAAGUGACUUAAACGGGAAAGGGAAUGUGGCAACAACCUCUCUAGAUACGAUGAACUACUUCAUGCCCAUGGUACAUAAGAUAAAAUAGAAGUCAGCCAAGAUUGAGCCUUUAAACUUCUGUUGCAUCCUUGUAAUGAUAAGCUUCUUAGGUUUUUCAAGUGUCCCAAAUCAGCAGGCAGCUGUUGUAGACCCGAGCAACCUGACAUAUCUAGAUGUUGAAGUGAUUCUAGCUUGCAAAUGUUGCUUGGUAGAUUCUUGAGGCUUACACAGUCUUCCAGAUUUAAGUAAACAAGUUUCACCAAAUAUUUUAUUGAUGAAUCAAUCUCACCCAACUCGGAGCAACCUGUAAACAAUAUUGUCUCAAGACUUAUCGCCCUUGAAAAAUCAGGAGUCCGCUUUAGUCGUUGACAAUGACUGAGAUUUAGAUUCGCUUUAGUCGGUGACAAUGACUGAGAUUUAGAUAUGCCAGGUUUUCCAGGGGCUGAUUCAUAGAAAUAAUAAUAUAUUCAUUAGUAUCUAUAGUUCGCUUAAUCUAAAAUUGUAUUAUAUCUAAACCUUGAAAAACUUAGAAUAAGGUUUUUUUAGCAAUAAACCUUGAUGGUGGAUUGCCAAACUUCCAUGAUGUUGCUAUAUUGCAUGUCCAGAGCCACAAGUUUGGUUAGAUGAAUAUCAGUAGGUAAACAUUUCAAAGGGAAAUUUUGCCAACUUAGCCAUCUUAGGUCCUCAAACAAAUUUUUGAAGCUUCCAGUAAAAUUCAUUCCUUUUGCUUGAAAUAUUUUCAACCUAUCCACUUUAAAAUUUAAAAAAAAAUUUAAACUUUAAUUUCCUUAUUUAAAUAAAACGUGAAUAUAAAAACUGAGUUACUAACUAAUUUAACGUGAUAUAACCAUUUUUUAAAAAUAUAUAAAAUUUAUGUAAACAUAAAAUAUAAAAAAAAUAAAUUUGAAUGAUCCACUUAAAAAUUAAAAAGUUUAAAACUUUAAUUUCCUUAUUUAAAUAAAUAUUAUGAAUAUAAAAAUUGAGUUACUAACUAAAUAUUUUCAUGUUUUAUUUUUAAAAAUUAAACAUUUAUUUACGAUUAGAAUUUAAAUAGUCAGUUUUAUAACUUCCCAUUACAUUUCCACGUACACACAAACUCUUAAAAUUUAUUAACAAAAAAUUAAUAAAAUGAACAAAAUUAGAUUUUGUCAAAAAUAAAAAUAAAUUAAAAUUUACUUGGAAACUCACUAAAUAUGAUUACUAUAAAAGAGUAAAUCGUGGUUUUUUUUGCCCCUUUUUAAUAGCAACUACAUGUCAAGCUUUAAUUAAUUUAUCUCCAAUUGUUAUAAAAAUAAAGAUGAAUAUAUUUUUUUUAAAGUAAAGGUUAAAGAAAAAUAAAUCGUGCAACAUAUAAGUUGGGUUAUUCAAUUAUGAAUUUGAAUAGUACAUAUUCUUAGCUAAAUAUAUUAAUUUCAAGAAGAAUUAUUUUUAAAAUCAAGUUCAUUUAUUUAAAAAAAUGGAUAACUACCCCUAUAUAAACUGUAUACAAAUAGUUAUUUACCUCAUUAAUUUAUGGUAUAAUAAAGUACUACAAAAAACUAUUACGUUUAUGCCUAAAUUUUGUAUUGAUAAAAAAUAUAACUGUAUCUUUUUCUUUUCUUUUUUUACAAAUAACAUAAAUAUUAAUGGGAAGAAAAUAAUAAGCUAAAGUUACUUUUUAGGUGGACGUGCAGCUUGGAAACGAAGUGAUGGGAUCAUGUUAGAAGUUAUUUAUUUGAAAUGUAAAUUUUUUAAAUAGUUACUAUACUUAAGAUAAAGGCUAUGAACUGUCUUUUAACUUUUAGAAUUUUAAAACCUAUAAAAUGUACAUAAAUUCUAAAAAGGAAAUGGUACAAAAGAGACAUAUUAUUAUAAGGUUUCAAAGAAUUGAAAAUUAUUUUGUCAAAAGUGAAAUAAAUAAUAGUACAUUUAAUUAAUUGGGAAUUAUUAAAGAAAAGCUAAAAAAAAUAUUAGGCCAUUAAAUAAUAUAUUAUACUACUAGAAAAAAUUGCAAGUUCCUUGAUAUCUGUUUAUUGAUAAAGAUAUAGGUUAUUAUUUUCUUUCUGUGAAAAGUUAAAAUCUUAAUUUAUAAUUUUAAAAAUAACAUUACAAGUAAAUGACUUAUUAUUUGUAAUUAACUAAUUUCAAUGAUAUAUAUAUAUAUAUUUGAUCUAUUCUGCGCAACGCGCGGGUACAUAUACUAGUACAACAAUAAUAACAGACCCACUAUAAUUUCACAAGUGGGGUUUGAGGAGGGUAGUGUGUACACAAACUUUACCGAUUCCAGUAGACCCUCAGUUGUCUAUAAUAUUUACCGUUAGGUCAGUCCUAAUACAUUGGGCCCUUUGUCUCACUUUAACCAAGGUAAUCUACAAGAACCACGUUUUUGGACUUUUGACCUCACUUGCGUUAUGGGAAGAACUUCAAGUUUAAGAGAUUUUGAACUUUGUAAUGUGAUGUGAAGAUGAGCUACUGUCAGUUAGAAGUUAGUUAAUGUUAGUUAGGCUGUUAAAAGUGAAAGGGUAGAUCAGUCAUUUUAUAAUAAUUAGUUGUAACUACCUAGCAUAGAGUUAGUUAGUAAGAUUAGUUACAAGUCACAAUAAGAGAGUUAUAAAUACUGUGACUCACUCAAUGUAAUCUUCUUCUUCUUAAUACAAAAUAUCUGAGAUGUUCAUGGAGCUCUCAUUGUUGCUCUGAUUGAGUUCUUUCGUUUUACCUUCAUGGUAUCAAAGCUUUACCUUCACAGUGCUUACUGUUGAAGACGAGUUGUGCAAAAGAUCAAAGAAUCAAUUUCUGAUUCAUCGAUUCAUCUAUAUCAUCAGAAUUCAUUACAGAUCUGAGCUUGGAGCUGAAUUCUGUGGUGAAUAAUUGUUGAUUUUUCUCUGGUUUUGCUUCCGCGACAACAAUUUAUCAAGGAUCUAAUAUGGUGAAUGAUCAAAUAGUUGUGGAUCAGUCUCCAAUCAUCAACAAUGGCCAAGGAACUACUGGUUCCUUACAUGGCAACAUUGGAACAUGACACUAUAAUCAUACUCUGUUUCUCAGUCCUACUGAUGUUAGUGGCAUUAGCAUCAUCUCGUUUCAACUAGUAGGUGUUGAAAACUAUACUCUGUGGAAUCGAUCUAUUAGGCUAGCUCUGUUAGGGAGGAAUAAAAUAGGGCUAAUUAAUGGAUCUUCUCGAAAAGAGGUUUAUAGUGAGGAAUUAUGGGGACAAUGGGAAAGAGUGAAUGCCAUUGUAUAAUCAUGGCUUAUGAAUUCAGUUUCGAAGAGUUUACUGAGUGGUAUAGCAUUUGCUACUACUGCUUUUGAUGUUUGGACUAAUUUAAAAGAGAGAUUUGACAGAGUGGAUGGAUCUAGAUCUUACAGUUUACACAGAUAUUUCUUCCUUGCAACAGGGUAAUAUGUCUGUUUCUGUAUACUAUACAAGGCUUAAAAAUCUAUGGGAUGAAUUUGAGGCUUUAGUGCCUUCUCCUUUUUGUAAUUGUGAUAGAUCCAAAGGAUUUGUGAUCCAUCUUAACAGGCAGAAGUUGUAUCAGUUUUUGAUGGGAUUAAAUGACUCAUAUCAUCAGGCUAGAAGUCAGAUUCUUCUCAUGGAUCCAUUACCAAUUAUUAAUCAGGCGUAUGGAAUGAUAGUGGGGGAUGAGAGUCAAAAGGCUAUGGUUACUCACACUAAUAACACUAGUAGUAUGGGCAUGAGUUUCAUUAGUGAGGAUUCAGUAGCUCUGUACUCCAAGGUUGGUAGUAAUUCUGGGUAAAUCAGAAGUUUAAAAGGAAUUCUAUGCUAGUGUGUAAGUUCUGUAAAUGUAAGGGACAUAGUAAGGAGUUCUGCUACAAGGUGAUAGGAUAUCCUCCUGACUUCAAAUCCAAAAGAAAGACUCAAGGUGUUACUUCUGGUCAGGUAACAGCUGAUGCUGGUCACACUAAUACAUCAACAUCUCAGGAAAACUUCUCAUAUGGUAUGAACACUAAUGUUCAUAUACCAAGUAGAAGUACAAAGGGUGAAUCAUCCACAGCUAACAUGAAUGCUAACUUAGCUGGCAAUAACCACAAUAGGACAGUGAGCCAAGCUGAGAAGGAUGUUCAACAACUUCUUCAGGGCUGCACUUUCACAAAGGAUCAGUAUGAUCACAUACUCCACAUGUUUCAGCAAAGGUCAGAACCUGUUGUAGUAGCCUGCAAUGCUACUCAUUCAACAGGUAAUGUGUUUUUUGUCUCUGAAAAUAGUGAUCUUUGGAUUAUGGACACUGGGCAACUAAUCACAUGGUGUCUAAUUUGGAUAUGUUGAUUAAAGAGUCUGUAUCAAAACUGGAAGUUCCUAAGACAGUAUACCUUCCAAAUGGUGAUGCUACUCAAGUUACUCAUGUUGGAUCAUGUGCAUUAUCUACUAGAAGUGUUCUUACAGAUGUGUUUCAUCUUCCAGAGUUCAAAUAUAACUUGAUGUCUGUCAGUAAGAUCACUAAGGAAUUAGACUGUUCAGUCACCUUUUCCCCUCAUUUUUGUGUAUUCCAGGAGCUUUACAGUGGGAAGGUGAAGGAGGUUGGUAGAGAGGCCGGAGGUCUGUAUUUGCUGUUGCAUCAGUUAGUUGAUAAAAAGAAGGAGUCUGCAUUGAAGGUUGCAUUUGUUGCUACCAAUCCAAGCUCAGAGUGUCAUGAUUCAGAUAUGGAACUAUGGCAUAAGAGAUUAGGGCACGUUUCAUCAACAGUUCUUGCUAGAAUGUUUGAUAUGAAUAAGCAGAGUUUGUGUCGGAUUUCUAAGUGUUUAGUGUGUCCAUAUGCUAAACAAACAAGAGUAGUUUUUCCUACUAAUAGUAUCAAAAGUAAAUGUUGUUUUGACUUGCUACAUAUUGACCUAUGGGGUCCUUACAAUACUCCUACUUGUGAUGGCAAUAAGUACUUUCUUACUAUUGUUGAUGACUUCUCCAGAAUGACUUGGCUAUUCUUACUUAAACUCAAGUCUGAUGUUUGUGUUUCAUUGUAAGUAUUCUUACAGUUUUUCAAGACACAGUUUGGUAAAAUGGUGAAAAUAAUAAGAACUGAUAAUGGCAUAGAGUUUGUCAAUUCUGUUUGUGAUCAAAUGUUCAAAGAUAUGGGGAUUAUACAUCAAAGAACUUGUCCAUAUACCCCACAACAAAAUGGGGUAGCUGAGAGGAAACAUAGGCACAUACUUGAAGUUACUAGGGCUAUGAUGUUUCAAGCACAAGUACAUUUAAGAUAUUGGGGACACUGUGUUCUAGCUGCAGCUUAUGUUAUUAACAGACUUCCCAGCAAGGUUAUCAAUUUUCAAACUCCCUAUGAGAGAUUGUAUGGUACUCCACCUGUAUUAAGUCAUUUGAGGACACUUGGAUGUUUAUGUUUUGCCAAAGAUCUAUCUGUUCAUGACAAAUUGAUGCCAAGAACAAGAAUGGCUGUACAUAUGGGAUAUUCAGAAGUACAGAAGGGGUAUUUACUGUUAGAUUUGAGCAACAACUCCUUUUUCACAAGUAGAUAUGUGUUGUUUAGAGAAGAAAUAUUCCCAUUUUCUCAAAGUAAAAACCAGGUUGGUGAACCUGUAUUUACAGAUCCUUUGCAGGAUACAGGUGUUUUGUUUCCUCACUUAGAUCUUGCUUCACUACCUCCUUGUGGUCCAUCAUCAGAUGAUGUUUUACAGCAGUGUGAUGAUUCACAACCUGAGGUUCCACCUAUGACUGCAGCUGAUGGGGUUGACAGUGCAAUAUGUAGUGAUUGUGUGCCUGUUGUUGUUAAUGACACAAGUGCACCUGAGGUGGUUCCGAGUGCUACUAAGACUGAUGUUAUACCAACUAGCAGGAGAUCUACUAGGAUCAUACAAGCUCCACUGUGGUUAAAAGAGUUUGUAUCCUUGCCAGGUCACAAGGAAGUGAAGUAUCCUCUGUGUAAUUAUUUGAGCUAUUCUCAUUUGUCAGCUAGCUAUCAGUGCUAUAUUGCUGCUACUACACCAUGCAAGGAACCUACCAGUUAUUCAGAAGCUAUCAAGGAUCCAAGAUGGGUUGCUGCUAUGAAAGAUGAAAUUCAGGCAUUGGACAGUAACCAUACUUGGGAGAUCACUGACUUACCACCUAGAAAGAAGCCUAUUGGGUGUAGGUGGAUAUACAAAGUCAAGUAUAAAAUCUACUGGUGAGAUUGAGAGGUUCAAAGCAAGACUAGUUGCAAAAGGUUACAGUCAAAGAGAAGGGAUAGACUAUAAUGAGACUUUCUCACCUGUGGUUAAAAUGGUGACAGUGAGGACCAUUGUGUCUUUGGCUGCUUCUAGACAUUGGCCUAUCCAUCAAAUGGAUGUUUUUAAUGCAUUUUUGCAAGGAGACUUGGAGGAUGAAAUCUAUAUGUAGCUACCUCCAGGUUUUGUCAGUCAAGGGGAGAAAGUAUGUAGACUGACAAAGUCUCUAUAUGGACUCAAACAGGCUCCAAGGCAGUGGAAUCAUAAACUGACUGAGACUCUUCUUAAAUUGAGUUUCAAACAAAGUCAAUAUGAUCAUUCUUUGUUCAUUAACAAGUCAGAAGAGGGAAUCAUUAUAGUAUUGGUUUAUGUGGAUGAUAUGUUAGUAACUGGAAGCAGUUUGAAGUUGAUAGAAGAAACUAAAAAGGCACUGCAGCUAACAUUCAAUAUAAAGGAUUUAGGGGAGCUAAAAUAUUUAUUAGGCAUUGAGCUUGUCAGAUCAACUGAGGGUAUACUAAUGCAUCAAAGGAAGUACAUUCUUGAGCUUAUUUCUGAGGUUGGCAUGACAACAGCUAGACCUGCAGGAACCCCUAUUGACAUCAAUGUUAAGCUAACUUCCAAACUGUAUGAUGAUCACCUAAGCAAACAGCCAGAAGAGUUGGAGGAUCCUCUGGUGGAUCAGACUAUGUAUCAAAAGCUCAUAGGCAAACUCUUGUACUUGAAUAUGACCAGACCAGACAUAUCAUUCAACACUCAAACUCUAAGCCAAUUUCUACAACAACCAAAGAAGUCUCACAUGGAUGCAACACUGAGGGUGAUUAAGUAUCUAAAGAGACAACCAGGGCAAGGCUUAUUGUUAUCAAGUGACUCAGAUGAGCUAGUCUCUGCAUAUUGUGAUGUUUGAUUGGGCCUCAUGCUCAAUCACUAGGAAAUCUGUUACAGGAUACAUGGUCAAGAUUGGUAAAUCACUAGUGUAUUGGAAGGCCAAGAAACAAACGACAGUUUCAAAAAGUUCUGCUGAAGAAGAAUAUAGAAGUUUAGCUUUUACAGUCUCUGAAUUGGUAUGGCUACUUGGCAUGCCUAAAGAAGUAGGUGUUGAGGUUCAACUGCCAAGUCAGAUAUAUAGUGAUAGUAAGGCUGCAAUACAAAUUGCAGCAAAUCCUGUAUAUCAUGAAAGAACAAAGCACAUUGAGAUUGACUGUCACUUCAUAAGAGAGAAAUUACAAAAGGGAUUGAUCAAUGUGGAUUACAUUCCAACUAAGAAGCAACCUACUGAUAUCUUAACCAAAGGAUUGACCAGAUUACAGCAUGAUCAUUUUCUAUCCAAGCUUGGAGUGUUGAACAUAUUUGCCCCUCCAAGCUUGAAGGGGAGUAAUGUGAUGUGAAGAUGAGCUACUGUCAGUUAGAAGUUAGUUAAUGUUAGUUAGGCUGUUAAAAGUGAAAGGGUAGAUCAGUCAUUUUAUAAUAAUUAGUUGUAACUACCUAGCAUAGAGUUAGUUAGUAAGAUUAGUUACAAGUCACAGUAAGAGAGUUAUAAAUACUGUGACUCACUCAAUGUAAUCUUCUUCUUCUUAAUACAAAAUAUCUGAGAUGCUCAUGGAGCUCUCAUUGUUGUUCUGAUUGAGCUCUUUCGUUUUACCUUCACUUUGACCUUCAAGGUUUUCACACGGGGCAAGCUGCAUCAAAAGUUGAAGACUACUCAUUUUCAAGGUGUGUAUUUUCUUUCCAGAAUUGUCAUCAGACCCAACAGUUCCAACUUUCUUUACGCAAGCCUAACCUGUUUUGUUGGUCGACUACCACACUGCAAAAUAGAUCUCGCCAAUCAUCUGUAUUCCGUCGACUAUGGUUAUAUGCUUCCUGCAAAAACUGGCGAAAGCUGGUGUGAUUUACAUGGAAAG
rnacentral:lncRNA from 1 species